GUUUGGAGUAUAAUGUAAUAAAGUAAUAAUGUGUUUUUCCAAUUCCUUCAAUUGAUAGCAACUAUGUAAUUUGUAAUGAAACUAUGAUUUUAUAAUCAUUCUACUGGUUAUGGAGUGCUUUUUGCUGGAAUAGGAAUUGAAUUUAUAUUUUCUUUAGUAGGAAGGAUGUGAAUUAAUGUGGCAUUUGUGUAUUUAGUCAAUUUUUGAUAAAACUAGGGCAAAUAUUGUUUUGGAUAAAAGCGGAGUGAUUUAAAAUGGACAUGGGUCAUUUUGUCUUUGGAGUAUCUGGGUGCCUCAGUUUGUUUAAUUAUAAAAAUUGUGUACAAGAUAUCUCAUGAAGAUACAGCCCUAAAUAGACCAAAUUAUGGAUAAGGAUUCUGGUAGUUGACCCAAAAUAGUUGGAAUGAGGCUUUGUUGAGUUCUCUUUCACAUUUUUGCAUGAUGCAACUAAAUUUUAGUUGUUUGAUUGAACAGUAUGGUAGUUGAGCUUCUAUAAACCUAGAUAAUCUUCCUGGUAGGUCUGCUUAUUGUCCAUACACUGUCCACAUCUCUCUCCACAAACCAAUGCCAAAUUUGUCAGAGAAUCUGGAUUGAUUUGUCAACACAUUAAUUAGGAUUUUUAUCAUCUGAGCAAAAGGUUGACCGGUUGAGAGAAGAUCACUAUUUGAUUAGUAUUUUCACCAACAAUUCAUUCCUUAUUUAGUGGGCAUCUGCAAUCAUUAUAUACUUAUUGGAUUUUUUUAGAGCAAACUAUUUGUCGAUUUGUUAUUUCCUCAGAUGAUAUGAUAUUUCUUUAUCUAAUUCUCUAGAAUCGCAUCUGAGCUUCUGUACCAUAAUUUUGUUAUUAUUCUUAUCGAUUGAAACAACAUUACAUUGACUUUAUGCUUAUAUCAUCUAUUAGCCAUCAUGGAGUGACUACCAACCAUACCGGAUUUGUGACCAUGUGACUGUUAAAUGGCUUUUUAAUCAGUCAUUUAAAUCGGAAAGAGGGAACUUUUUGAAUCAACGGUACUUGAGUCAUGGUAAAGCUGUUGGAUAGUAUCUUUUGAUUUUAGAUUCUCAAUAAAUUAGUAGCUAAUAGUCUUCAUGUGGCCUGCAUAAAUUGCUUUAUGUACUCCUAUAAACUCAAGAGUUCACUUGAAAUCACCCGGUCAAUUUAUUUCCAGAUUAGUAUGCAUGAAAAAUUCACAGAAUUUUCCUUAAUUCUUUUCUUUGUUUGGGGGUUCCAAUGGUUUUACCAUCUAGAUUAGAUGGGGUGACAAGCUUUAAAUAGAAAUGCAUGAGUUAAAGGUCAAACGAUGAGAUACACGUUGAGAGAAUGCACACAGAAUGGUCAACAGUAAUAGUUACUACUUUGUGUUGCCUAGCCUAUGCUUAUAUGUGAUAAUCUAUGGAUUUAGUAAUGCCAGCCUGGCUCAUUGCAUGUAUUACCUGAGCCUGGUUUCUUGGUACUCAUGAGACCAGUGGUUUAAGUAUUUUUCAGAUGAUUGGAGCUUACUGAAGUUAUACACCCACAGUUUUAGUUCUGUUGAACAUACAGAUAAGGAAUGCUGGCAGCACUUCUUCAUUCCACUAACUUCAAAGCACAGUUCCUAAACAAAUAUGCUUGUUUAGCAUAUAGAGUGAAACAUGAUAGCUCAACCUGAUAUUAUUGCUUUCCCCUAAGAGAAAUUUUAUGAAACUGUUUCUAGAUUUAUGGGCAUUCGAGGCUUGCCUCUUUGGAUGAGCAUAUCUUGAAAUUUCAUCUAAAUAUCCUUUUGAAGUAUUUUUAAAUGUUUCAUGCAAGUGAAAGCAGGUUUAACUGAUUUAUACUAAUAAUGUGAGCAAUCUUAUGUUUCCAAACAGUCUUCUUAGCUCCUCUUAGUGGGUUUAUUUAUUGUAAAACAAUUUAGUGUAUUGGCUGCUCUCUUCCUUAAUUUCUCACUCACAUUUGCAUUAACUUGUGCACUUGUACACACAUACAAGCAGGUAUAAUAUGGAAGGGGAAAACCGAAACAAGGCAAGAAUUUAAUUUUGUCAUAACAAUAUUGAAGUUAUCAGUUGUUGUCAUUACAGUCCCAUUUUGUAAAAUAUCAAUGUUUUCAGAACUGGACCGGUUAUUGAACCGGAAAUGUUACCGGUUCAUUGGUCAGACUGGCGGUUGAACCAGUGACAUUAUAAACAUAUAUUUUAUAUAUUAUUAAGAUUAAAAAAUAAUAAUAAAUUAUAAAAAUUAAAUAUUAAACAUAAUAUCAAGAUUAUAAUCAACCAAAAAAAAAGCAUAUUAAAUACAAAACAUAAAAAAUAAAAUUGAAAGGAGCUACUGCCCUUACAGCAAUGCAAGCGGAGCACUGCCGGGGAUGGGGUGGGGGUGUUUUGCCAUCGGGGGAGCGAUGUUCAACUAGUGACAGCUCUGUGCUGGUGACAGUGGGCGGCUCCAACUAAGGCAGCCGCACGAGGGGUUUGGGGGGUGGGGGGGAUGAAAAUGAGAUUUUAUACUCAUCAAAACGGCAUUGUUUUGAUGUUGGGGAAAAAUAAAAUUAAUUGAACCGUCCGGUUUGGAGGGAGCCGGACGGUUUGUUCGAUUCGCCGGUCUGAUUCCGGUUCAACCUCUUUUUGGCCUAAUUGACCGGAUCAGACUGGAACCGUGACCGGCUGAUCUGGUCUGGUUUUUAAAACCAUGUAAAAUAUGCUGGGACUGAUCUGUCUGUUAUGUUCAGGGCACUCUUACUGCAAUUAGAGACUGGUUUAGAGACUAUAAGAUCCCUGAUGGAAAACCAGCUAACAAGUUCGGUCUGGGCAACAAGGCAGCAAACAAGGUACUUUUAGAUUCAUAUUGCUUUAUUUUUGUGUUUAAUUUUUCUACGCAUUGAAAAGUUUUCAUGGGCAUCCUCUCAGUUGGAUAAAAGAAAAUCUGGAGUGGAAACAAAUCCACCUGUCUGCUUAUUAUCUUCUAUUCUAUUAUGUUUUCAUUUUUGACUUGGGAAUAAAUUUUCUGUUUAAGCAGGAUUAUGCCCUCAAGGUAAUUAAUGAGACUAAUGAGUCUUGGGCUAAACUUGUCAAGAGAUCGAUUCCUGCUGGAGAGCUAUCACUUGUGUAAAUAUGAUUUGAAGAGUCGACCUGCGGCUGUUACUGCUGGGUACCCUUAGUGACACACAUAAAGAGGUUUUACUUCUGGUGUAGUCCUGGUAUUAUUAUUAGUUGACAUGAACUUUAUUUUUUCACAAUUUUGAGCUAGAACAUACUCUAAUUGCAGCCUGUCUUUAUUCUUGCACUCAUCAUUAUGAAAUAAAGCUUUUUCUUUUUUUGGUUUUCAAAUUAGAAGAUUGAUCUACCAAUUGAUUAUACUGAUACCCAAGCAAUGUUCUUCAGGGGAUCUGAAACUUUACUACAGGCCUUUUAGUUUUUGAAUUGGAAAUCGUACAUACACCAAGCGAUGGAUUUGGUCCAUUAAUCAAUUUGUAGGUGUUAUGUAUGGAUGGAACUCAACUAUCUCUAUCAUAGUGGUGUUAAUCCUAAUUAGGGGCAAAGGUAAGGGCGAGGUGGCUUCAGCUUGGGGAUGCUACAAAUGCAUAGGGUGAGGAAUACUAUUUUGUGUCUUAAUGAUGAGUACGGGAAUAGACCAGAGGAGUAUGCAGCUGUUAAAGCGUCUAUUACAGGUUUUUAUAAUAAGCUUCUGAACUCAUUCUACAUAUCUUAAUAAUGCCAGACUUAGACUGCAGGGUGUUAAGAUGUCUUAGACCUCCUUAGCAAAUUAAGAUGCUGAAGAACCCUGUAGAGGAAAAGGAAAUACAUCAGGCGAUGUUUGGAAUGAAGAAUAACAAGGCCCCUAGCCUGAUGGUUUCACUGCUUCAUUUUACGAAAUGAAUUGGGAUGUGGUCAGUGCUGCGGUGGUAGCUGCAGUAUCUAAUUUAUUUAGUACUUCGGUGGGUUGCCGGAUUUAAUCUAACUUUUGGACAGACCAGGGCAAGUAUUUGUAUUUGGAUUGAGCUUAGGUUGAGUAUUUUUCAUUUUGAACUCAAUGCGGGUUGGCUUUAGGUCAAGGUUCGGAGGUUCGGACAAUCGAAAUCUAAUUUGACCAGAUUUGAUAUUUUUGUUAUUAUAUUUAUAAUUUAUAUUGUCUUGUAUAAUAAUAUUUAUUUUAUUUAUUUAUUUAGAUUUUUAAGGAAAAAUAUUAAAUUGUUAUUAUACCUUAUACUAUUUCAUUUUCUAGAAAGAUGUAUAAGUUUUCAAAAAAAUUGUUGAUCAGUUUUAUAUCAUAUGAUUUUUUUGAUUUAUGUCUUUAACUUCUACAUCUAGUUGAUACGGAAAUAAAUGGUUAUCUCAAAUAGGUGUGACAUUCCAAAAUUAUUUUUAAAAAUGACUUUCAAAGGUUUUCAUUUAAAAUAUUAUUUUACAUAAAAAAAAUAAAAAUAAAAAUGCUUUUUAAUGCCUAAAGAUGAUUGGACCUGUUUUGUUGGAGCAAGAAAACUAUUUUCCAUUUUUCCACAAUAAUUUUUUGUUUAAAAAAAAAACUUUUUUAAUUCAAAAAGAAAAAACGAAAAACAUAUUUGAUAACUAAAAAGUUAUUUUAUGUUUUUAUUCUUAAAAAUAAAAAAUAAGAUGUUUUCAGAGGAUAUAUAUUUUUAAUUAUUUUCACUUAUUUUUAGGGUUAUUUAAAAAAAUAAUUAUAUAAAUAUGUAAAAUGAUUAACAAUAAAAUAUUAGAUAUAAAAAUUAUCUUUAAAGCAUAUUUAAAAAUAUAAAAAAAUAUUUUAAGUUUACAAAUAGACUUUGAUUUUGCAAAAAUAUUAGAGAAUAAUUUUAAAAAAUUAGGGUAUGUUUGAUCAUGUUUUCUAAAAUUUAUUUUUAAAAACUGAUUUUAAGUUAAAAAAUAAAAACCAAUUUCUAAAAAUAAAUUUCAGAAAAUAUGGUCAAACGAGUCCAUAUUUUCAUUUUAAUUUUAAAAAAACUAGUGAAAACAACUUCUACUUGUUUUAUAAAAAAUAUUCUCUAUUUCACUUUGUUUUUAAAAAUCGUUUCCAGAAAAUAACAACCAAAUAUUAUUAGAAAAUUUUAAAAAUAAUUAAAAAAUAUAUAUAUUUUAAAUCACACGAUCAAAUAGGCUCUUAUUAUUUAUAACUAUUUUGAAAACAAUUAUCAAAAUUCAAAUAAUCACUUUCAAAAUUAGGAAAGAACGGAUAAACACGACCUUGUGAAAUGGGCUAGAAACCCCGUUUUCCAUACAAGACGGGCAGUCUUACAGAUUNNNNNNNNNNNNNNNNNNNNNNNNNNNNNNNNNNNNNNNNNNNNNNNNNNNNNNNNNNNNNNNNNNNNNNNNNNNNNNNNNNNNNNNNNNNNNNNNNNNNNNNNNNNNNNNNNNNNNNNNNNNNNNNNNNNNNNNNNNNNNNNNNNNNNNNNNNNNNNNNNNNNNNNNNNNNNNNNNNNNNNNNNNNNNNNNNNNNNNNNNNNNNNNNNNNNNNNNNNNNNNNNNNNNNNNNNNNNNNNNNNNNNNNNNNNNNNNNNNNNNNNNNNNNNNNNNNNNNNNNNNNNNNNNNNNNNNNNNNNNNNNNNNNNNNNNNNNNNNNNNNNNNNNNNNNNNNNNNNNNNNNNNNNNNNNNNNNNNNNNNNNNNNNNNNNNNNNNNNNNNNNNNNNNNNNNNNNNNNNNNNNNNNNNNNNNNNNNNNNNNNNNNNNNNNNNNNNNNNNNNNNNNNNNNNNNNNNNNNNNNNNNNNNNNNNNNNNNNNNNNNNNNNNNNNNNNNNNNNNNUCAAAAAGUAAUAAGAUUGUUUAUUAAAUAAUAAAGAAUAAACUUCGUAAUAUAUAAUUCUUUUAAUAUUAUAACAAAUUUAUUAUUGAAAAACUCUAAUAACAAAUUUUAUUCAUUAUUAUAUUAAACAAUUAUUAAUAUUAUAUAAUAAAUAGAAAUUUAUUAUUGGUUUAUUUAUUAUCAAGAAUACGAAUCUAUUUUUAACUUAUUAAUACUAUAAUAAAUUCUGUUUUUUUUUUUCAAAUUAUUACUUUAUAAUGUUUCUAGAGAAAAAAAAUUCCCAAAUAAUAAAAUAAUAAAAUAAUAAAGUAAUAAUAAUAAUACUAAUAAUAAUAAUAAUAAUAAUUUAAGAUUAUUGACAACUACACUCCUCCAUAUAAAUGUUUCCUUAUUAUUUUAGAUUUUUAUUUUAUUUUAUUAUUUUUUUAUUUAAGAUUUUUUUUCCUCUAGAAACAAACACCUUAUAGGAUUCUUAUUUUAGUUUUCUAAAAGUUUAGGAAAUAUUGUCAAACAAAUCAUAUUUAAUCAUAAUUAUGAAUUCAAAAAGUAAUAAGAUUGUUUAUUAAAUAAUAAAGAAUAAACUUCGUAAUAUAUAAUUAUUUUAAUAUUAUAACAAAUUUAUUAUUGAAAAACUCUAAUAACAAAUUUUAUUCAUUAUUAUAUUAAACAAUUAUUAAUAUUAUAUAAUAAAUAGAAAUUUAUUAUUGGUUUAUUUAUUAUCAAGAAUACGAAUCUAUUUUUAACUUAUUAAUACUAUAAUAAAUUCUGUUUUUUUUUUUUUUCAAAUUCUUACUUUAUAAUGUUUCUAGAGAACAAAAAUUCCCAAAUAAUAAAAUAAUAAAGUAAUAAUAAUAAUAAAAUAUCUAAAAAGAAUGGAAAUAUUUAUACAAAGGAUUCUAAUUGUCAAUGGAUUAGGAUGACAUGACAAGUAAAGGGCUAUUUUUGGGAAUAAUUAAAUCAUAAAUUAAAAAGUGCAUGCAUUUUAAAUUAUUUUUAAAUAAAUGAAGAUAAUAUUGGAAUUUUCUUUGUCAACCAAUCAGUUUUGAGAAAAAAUGUUCUUGUAACGGAUAAGCUCCAGGAGGUUAGUUUUUGUAUAUAUAUAUAUAUAUAUAUAUAUAACAGUUCAUGUAAAUUUUGAUUUUUUUAAAAAUUAAAAUAUAAUAUUUUUUUAUAUUGAUAAAUAAAAGUCAUAUUGUUUUAAACUACUUUAUUCAACAAACAACAAGAUCGGUGGCCCCAACAUUGAUAUGGUUACAAAAAUAGCUAUAAAAGAAAAUAUGACAUAUCAAAAUCCAAUUCAAUAAAAAUCAUAGUCCUCAAACCUCUGUUUCAUUAAAAGGUACGUAAUCCUACAAUUCACUUCAUAUGACUCAUGAAGUUAGCGCCAUCACGAUGAAUUGUCAUAAUUGAAACAAAUCUACAUAAACAAAUAGAGACCAUUUCACAUUUUAAACUACAAUAUCCAUCAAACAACAACAAGACCAAUGUUUACAAAAUUAAUGAAGUUACAAAACUACUUAAAGAAAAGAGUAACCUACCAUUUAAAAAUUUUCUACAUUUGUAUUAAAAAUAUAUGGUAACAAAAUUUUCUAUUAACAUUAAUUUAUUUAAAUAAUUAAUAUUAUUAAUAAUUUAUCUUAUCAAAUUAAUUUUAAUUUAUAAAAUAUUACUGAUAAAAACUGAAAUUUUGAUUUAACCAAAAUAAAGAUGGAUAAUUAAUUAUUUAUAAUUAAUAAUUAAUAAUUUUGAUUUAUAAUAUUGUUCUUGUGAUUUGUUUCCUUUUUAUUUUUAUACUAUAUCUAAAAAACAAACAUGCUCGUUGCCAUUCGUUGAGGCAUUAUGGGAAGGUGAAGGACCCAACGAUGGAGAAUUUGUUGCCGGAGGUUGAUUUUGAGCACAGGAGAUUGGUUUCAACCUCUGGAACUCAGUCUGUGGUUCUAAUGGUGGUUGAUGCUUCAGAUUUUGAUGGGUCCGACCACCACGCGUGAGGCAUCAAGAAGCCCCUUUGUUGAAUUCUUCUCCAGGCAAGCAUCAUGCCUUAUUUUCCUCUGCCACUCUCAAUCCUCGCAGGUGCUAAUCUAAUCAUUUUAUUAAUAUUUAUUUUCAACCCCAAUUUGCUUCCCAAGAAAAUCCAUCCCCCAUUCGAUUUCCGGGAAAAUUCAUCCUCGUUUGAUUUCCGAGAGAAAUCCAUCAAAACUCCCAAGGAAAACCAAAAAAAAAUAUGCUUUUAUUUUGUUGCUCCCUGUGUUUUCUGCAUCUGUUCUAAGGUUUUAUUUGUUUUUGUGCCAUUGGAUUUAAAUUCUACAAACCCUAAAUCCACGAUUUUUGAGCCACGUUGAAAACCACAACCUUUGCCCUCAAAUUGUGGAUCUGUGUGCGUGUGCGGCGGGUUGGAUUUAAAUUCUACAAACCCUAAAUCCAUGAUUUUUUAGCCACGCUGAAAACCACAACCUUUGCCCUCAAAUUGUGGAUCUGUGUGCAUGUGUGAUAUUUUUAAAAAAUUACCAAAUUUUCUGUCAAAGAUCUCAACAAGCAUCAAUACCAACCCAAAUUAACUCAUAAAUCCAUUACAUUCGUACCUGGGAAAGCUCCUCUCAGCUCGGACCACUUCUCUCUAUUUUCACUGCAAGCUCCCCUCGCGAAUUGUGGCUGUGAAAGAAAGUGAAAAAAUAUGGGUUUUUGGAGUUAGGGUUUGGUUCAGGAGAGAAGAAGGGAUUUGGGGGGUUUGGUUGAAAGAGAGAAGAAGGGAUUUAGGGUUUUGAUUCAACACAGAAGAAAUGAUUUCGGGUAAAUCUCACUAUUAUAUUUUAGUAAAUAUUUUUAAAAAAAUAUUGCCACAUGGAGUGUCUACAUGUCAUAUGAGCCAUGUCACUGGCUUAAGUGGAACAAGACUUUGCUGAGUAAUUGAUUAUGUCAAAGUGUAUGAGGGUAUUUUUGGAAGGCUCCUCAAUAUCACUAUUACAGUGUAUGAAAUGUGAUUUAUUUUUCACAAAAUCCAUUGAAUUUGAAAAGUAAAAAGUUAAGUUUCCAAAAGGCAAAAUUUUGCCCCUUGGUGUAUGGUUACAUAAAUUCCCCUAAAUAUUAUAUGAUUAUCUUAUAUAUCUACCAUACUUUAAAUAUGAAUGUUUUAUAAAUAAAUUUAGUGUUUAAAAUUAAGGAAAAUAGAUAUAAGUUAAAAUCAAUGAAGAUAAAUAUUAAUUAAAAUUAAUGAGAAUAAAUGAGUCAAUUUGAUGAUUUAAAAUAAAAUUUAACUUUAUCAAACAAUCUUAUUACUUAAAAGUAAAAUAAGUCAUAAGUUUUUAAGUUAACAACUUAAGGACAAUUUAAUUUAAAGUUAACUAAAGUCAUUAAGUAUUAGGUGUUAAGUUUUACCAAACACCUACUAAGUCAUUGACAGACGAAUAGGUUAGAUAGAAAGCAAAAACGUGGAAUAGUAUUGCAUUGAAAGUGCUUUUGGGAGCAACACAAAAUAGUGAAGGCAAUAUAUUGUCACUCACAAAAGUAGUUUGUAUCCUUUUUCAUCAUCAUCUCUAUGGUCCACACAUCACUGCCGUCACUUCUAUUGUUGUUGCCAUCACACAUUCAUCACCUCUAUUAUUGAUGGCAGCAUUGCUAGACCAUCACUGCUGAUGGUACUACACAAUGAUAAAAAAAAUGGGCUAUUAGAUUAAAAGGUAUGAAACUAAUCCCCCAUUUGUAAAUCUAACCCUCCUUUUUUUUCAGCCUAAAAAAUACUUUUUUUUGACAAAAAUACCCAUACUUUUUUCUUUUAAAAAUAACUUUUUCUUUUAAAACUUACAUGUAAUUAAGGAUAUUUAUGUAAAAAAUGGGUUAUUCUUCAAAUUAAAACAUGAGAGAGGUUUAACAAAUUGGGAUCAUUUCAUCCCUUUUUAAUCAAGUAAUUCUCAAAAAAUCCCUAUGAGUGCCACUGCCUUUGUGCACCAUCACUAACACUACCAUUGCCACUGCCUUCAUCACCUCUAUCUAUGCCAUCAGAACCAUCACCAAUUCCUUGCCUAUUCUACUGUAGUAACCAUAGCAUCUCUUCAUUACUACUGUAGUCACCAUCAUUGCCUCCAUGUUUACUUCCACCACCAAGUUGGUGUCCUCCAUCAAAACCAUAUUCACAUAUACUUUCUUAUACUUGGUCGAAUAUUGAUUUGUGUGUAAUAUGAUUUUUGUCUGUCUUUGUAGAAACAUGAGAAAAGGCAAGCAAGGGGAAAAAAAAUGCAAGCAAGCAAAUAAAUUCCCUUUCUUGCUUGUGAAAUAUAUUUUCAUGUAGGAAAAGUAAAAGUUAGUGUUUCUUUAAAAGUGGUACACCACUUAGUUCUUUAGUUUAAUGGUGAUGGAAAUCAAAUUAUGCUUCUUUUUUUUUUUUCCCACAUGCAUGAUGGCAUAGCCCUUUUACUGUUUUGCAGUAUGCAGAACUGAAACCAGUUCCAUGCUUGACUUACUCAGAUGCUCAAAAGUUAAGAGAAACAAGUGCCACCCCAAUUCUUAGACAGGUAAUGUUCUUGGAAUUGACUCAUUUUCUUUCAUUGAAAAUCUCAGAUAGUAAUUUCAUUCAUGAAAUUUAUUUACUUUUAAAUCAAUUGGUUGUUUCCCUUGAAAACUCCUUUCACUGUAUAAAAUCUCAUAUAUCUUCUCUUAUGAAACUGAUUUAUGUAAUCAUUCUGUUGGUUGCUUUUGGUAAGUGAACUCCUUCAGCAUAAAUCCUCUAAUCCUUUUUUUUUACCCAAGAAAAUUUGACAUCAUCCUAGAAAGGGUUGAAUUUUCAUGUGUCUGAAGAAAUUUUUAUCUAUUAUAGAUUCUUUUUAUUACAAAGUCUCCUGGUAAGUUUUCUUUCAUUACAAAAUCUCAGAAAAUUUUGUUUUUUUCUCUCGAGAACUAUUCUUUUUAAAACAUUUUAGGGUCACUCCUUUUGUAUUAAACUCCUUCUAUUUAAGUGCUCUUUCAAGCCAAGAACAUUUGAUAGCAUCUUAGUAGGAUUGGAUCUGUAUGCAUGGAAUGAAAUUUUUAUUCUUUAAGAACUGCACAUCAGUCCCUUUUUUAUUUUCUUUUGUUAUCAAGAAUAUCCUUGCACUUUCAUUUAGCAAUCUUCGCUAGUAUUGUUUUUAUAAAUAUGAUGAUAAUUUCUAUAUGCUACCCCUUUGUUUCAUGGUAUCUACUCAAGGAAACUGAUGAAAAAUUCAGUUGUUAGGCUGACCAUAUUAUAUUUUGUAAUACAGAAGGCAAAAGUGGAGAUGUAUAAAAUAUGUACAACUUGACUUGGCUUAACAAAGCCCUGUCUCAUCAAUUUUUUUCACAAACCCUUUUUGAGCAUUAUUCAAUAUGCAAAUUUGUCAAUAUUUCAUAUAUUGAGGUUUUGUGACAGGUUACUAAAAUAACAAAAAUGAAAAGAAAAAAAGAAAAAGGUGAACUGGCAAUAAAGGGUUCUUGGCUUUGGCUUUUCUAUAAGCAACUAAAGUCUAUUUAUUGAUCAGUGGGCUAAUUUGGGGGAAUUAUAUAUGAUUUAAAAGGUUAGCCAUGAUGAGCAUUAACAAUUUGUACAUAUUGGAUUACCAUCAAACAACUUAAAUUUGUUAUCCACUAAUACAAUGGCUCUGUGUGUUUUUAGUAGCAUGUAUGUAACUGUAUUUGGGAUCACUAAUAGUAGUUAAACCAAAAUAAAUAAGGCGACAAUACAAAUGCCCUACAUUUACAAUACAAUUGCACUAGAAGUACAAUAUAUUACAACAUUACUUGAUUCAUUAUACAUUUAAUUAUGACAAUGAUUAUUUGAUAUAAAUUCCAUAGUGCAGUGUGGAGUAUAAUACAUGGAUAAAAGGAAAAAAACAAUACAAUACAACCAGGUUUGAACAUUAUUUUAAUUAGUAUUAUUUUAUUUUGACUAUAUUAAUGUUUGACAUUGUUGUUUAAUUUGACUGUUUUCAUUUUAAUUUUAUAUUAUCAUUUAUUUACUUUUACAGGAGGUCAAAAUAAAUAGUCGAUGCUCCAGCAAAAAACUUAGACAUCUACUUGAUGAGCUAAGUGAUGAAAAGAAGAGUAUAAUUCAACAUAUUGGCUUUGGUGGAUUACUUCAGCUCUCUUCCACAGAGAUAAGGCAUAGCUUAUGUAGAUGGAUAAUAACUCAUUUCAAUAUAGCCCACUAUAGGUUAGACAUAGGACAAGAAAGGCAAUUUCCAAUAACUUGUUCUGAUGUAGGUGAAAUUCUAGGUAUUCCAUAUAUUGGUAGGAGGCUCCUACUUUCACCUACCAAUAGGAAUGAUAGGAUGGAAAACCUAUCAGAUCUUAGAGAUAGGCUGAUUUUAAUGGAAGACAUGGCCGAGUUCAAAAAAUUGUUUAUCUUCUUCUCAUGUGCUACAUUACUUGCUCCAACAUCAAAGUUGGAUGGUAGUCAUGAGUUGUGGUGUACUUUGCUUGCUGAAGACUUUGACAUCAAUGUUAAUUGGGGUCAAUUUGUACUUGACACACUGGUUGCUGGAAUUAGACAUUUUCGAUUGGGUAAAGGCUCAUGGUUUACAGGUUGCCUUAUUUUUUUACAGGUAGAUACCUUUUUUUAUUAAAUGUUGAAGGUUUCCAUAUCAUUUUAUAUGUUUUAACAAGUCUUUUCUAAAUAACGUAUUGAUGUGUGGAAUAUUUGUGUUUCAAGUUUUUUAUGUAAAUAAAUUUUACAUUCCAACCAUGUUGGUACCACGUACCAUCCCAAUAUGUGCAGCGUGGACUAAUGACUUGAUGAAGAAAAGGGUGCAUGCGGAAUUGCAUGAUUAUGGUGAUUUUGGACUAGCUGAUGUAAGGGACAAUUUUCUUUCAACAUUUUAUUUUAUUUUCAUAUUUGAAAAAUAAAUUUAUAAAAAUUAUAUAUUCUUCUUUUUAUUAUUGUAGGUUCAAGAAGAUGAAAGGGAGGAAAAUGCACAUGAAGACCCUGGUAAUCCAGUAAAUGAAGUUGAAGAAGAGACUACUGAUGUGAGAACCUUCUACAUCUAUUCUUUUAUUUAAAGCGAAAACCAAAUAUGUUAUGCAUAAUAAUAUACAUCUUUGACACUUUGUACCAUUUUGUAGGAAAUUAUAACAGAAUAUAAUGCAGCAGAGAGACAAAUUCACUAAUUGCUUCGAACAAUGAAAGGAGCAAUUGGUAAACUAGCAAAGCGGCAGAAUACAAAUAAAACCCCAUCAUCUUCUCAUCAAAGCAGAAGUCAUAAUCAACCUGAUAUCAAUGAUUCUUUCCCAUCACCACCACAUGGUAGUACGAUUUUUAUAGCACUAGUCAUUAUAAUUUUGUAUUACUUUUAAUUUAAUUGCAAAUGUUGUAUAAUUUUUUUUUUUUGGAAAAAAUAAUUUUGGUUAUUAUGCAUUCUAAAAUUAGCUUAUGGAUCACCACUGAAUGAUCGUUUUGCUAAUGGUGAAGAUAAUGUAGGCCCAUCAACCUCACAGCCAGCAGCGCAGCAUAGCAGUAUACUUUCUGCUUCUUUAUGUUUUAAUAUCAAAAUAAUAAUGAGUAUAUAAUAAUGGCUAGUAUUUCCUGUGCGUGUUAUUUUCAUUAGUGAUAUUUUAUUUUCUUUUAUUUUCUAUACAUAUAGUUGAGGAUGAAGUUCAGAUGAAUGCUAUUAUUCCUUAUGAGACUGGACAUCCUCCAAUACGUUCAUAUCGGCUACGUCGACAUGCUACUGCCCUACAAUCACCAUACGUGGUACAAUCGUCAAUCAAAUUUUCAGCGUCUUCAUCUGUAGCAAAGCAAGUUUUGGCAUAUGCAUUGGACGAUACACGUGAUGAAAGGUAAGGUUGAACUUAGUUUAGCAUAAACAAAUACAAUUAAGAUAGGCAAUUGAAAUAAUUAGUUUUAAUUUCUAACAUCAUAAUUAUUUAUGUGUAGCCAAAUAUUAUGUUCCAUGCACAAUUUCUUCUUGACAAGGUUUGACUUGAAAUGCUUGGGACCCGACAAAUUGGUUGACAAUAAGGUAUUCAUAUUUAGUUAUGUGAAGUUAGGAUAAAAUUACUCUAAAACUAUAUAUCUAAUUUUCAUUAAUUUACAUGAAGGUUGUAACCAUGCAUUGUCGAAUUUUGAAUGGUAUGGAUAAAGAAAAUAGGAAGCAUUUCUUAUCUCCAAACUUUGUGGUAAGAUAUGUUGUAAGAAUUAUAGAUUGGUUUUCUUGUUUUACGUAGAUUGUUUUAAUCUAAUGUAUGGUUUGUAAAUUUUUUAUUACAGUCUGAUGUGGAAAAGAAGAGGGGUUCCUUAUCUCCAAAAUACAUAUGUGACAAUUUAUGGAAAUAUUUCAAAAAUACUCGGUUGUGCACAUAUGAACAGGUUUUAUUUAGUUUAAUAAAAGUACUUUGUAGUUGGAUAUUUUUAAGUAUUGUGCAGAAAAUACAUGAACACAACUAAUUUGAUAAAAUCAUUGUUUUAUUUUAUUUUUGUUCCUUUUAGUUGUUCAUACCAAUAUGCAGGAAAAAUCAUUGGUAUUUAAUCAUUUUGAAUAUUCAUGAGAAAAGAAUAGAGUUGUUGGAUUCAUUAAUUGACGGAAGGAAAAAACGGAUGGAUGCCUUCAUAGAGAAACUGGUAAAUAUAGUUAUAGUCCAAUUACUUAUGUGAAUCGUUGUCAUUNNNNNNNNNNNNNNNNNNNNNNNNNNNNNNNNNNNNNNNNNNNNNNNNNNNNNNNNNNNNNNNNNNNNNNNNNNNNNNNNNNNNNNNNNNNNNNNNNNNNAUAGAGAAACUGGUAAAUAUAGUAUAGUCCAAUUACUUAUGUGAAUCGUGUCAUUAUUUUUUUAAAGAUGUCCAUAUUUAUAAUUGUAUAUUGUGUUAAGGUGAACGUUUUGUCAACUGUCAUUGGGAUUCAAGAAAGAAGACCAUCAGUGGACAUGACAGAAUUUGAAUUUGUUGUUCCAGAAGUUGUCCAACAAUUGAAUCCGUAAGUUGCAGGAUUUGUAUUCCUCUUUAACUAUGGAAAGCAAAUCAGGUUAUAAAUUUACUAAUUUGAUACCCAAUUGACUUAUAAUUUCCUUAAUUACUAUUUGCAGAACGGAUUGUGGCAUAUUUGUAAUGAAGUUUAUGCAAUUAUGGAGUAACCGUGGAAUUUCUCGUGCAAUUGCAAAUGUAUUAUAUUAUGGUGAAUAAAAUAUAUAUAUAUAUUUUUUAUGAUCAUGAAUUUUUCUUAAUAUUAUAUUAUAUACUCUUUUGUACAGGACAAGGUCAUAAAGUACAAGGAAAAACUCCUAACACAACUGAUAAUGUCUCCAGAAAAUGAAGUCAGGGAAAAUGUCUACCAGGCUAUGGAUCAAUGAUGUUGUAAUUUUUUUGGUUUAUAGUUGUUGAUAUUUUUUUAUAGUCUGAUAGAGUUCCAUUUCCAAAUUUACUAGUCUGAUAUUUUUUUACAAAUUGGCUUACAUCAACUACUUUGUUUGGAACUCAUAGCUGCUACUAUUUAUUAAUAAUUAUUGUUAUGCCAUCAUUUGUUUGUGAUCUUCAAAUUUCUCUGAAUUGUUGUAGGCAUUGCACUGUCAACUCAUCAUUUCCCAAACUCCAUGGUAUCAAAAUGAUAUUACACAUUGAUAACUCCAACGCAUCAAUGAUAGGCCAAUCUGGGAUAACUUAGCUCAGCUACUUGGGUGAUCAAAUUUUUUUUUUUUUCUGCCAAAGCAGAAUUGAAAUAACAACAUCAAGAACAAAACAAAAAGACUGUCAUAUUUGUAGUACUUCACAAAGUUUGGGAUCAGACUGACGUGCAAAAAAUAUUCAGCAUGGCAAAAAAACCAUUAAGCCUAUGCUAACCUGUUUGAAUCUCUCAUCAUUUCCCAAACUCCAAAAUAUGAGAUUGAUUUCAUAAUUAUAUUGUCAUACAAUGAGAAAUCUAACCCAUAAAAUAAACACACAAUGAGGUCUAUUAUUGUAACUCCAACGACAUAAAAUUGCACAAUCACUGAUUCAUUGUAGCAAUUUUUUUUCACUGUAGUAAUAAACACACAAUGAGGUCUAUUAUUUUAUCUGAUUUUAAAAAAUUCCUAUUAAACAUAUUACAUUUUCAAGAAACUUAUAAGAGAGUAAUUUCAAGUAUUUCAAAGUCUUUACAACUAAAUGACAAAAGGUUUUACACUCUAGUUUUGCAUGGUAAAAGCUACCAUUUUGAGUCCAUUUCAAUGAAAAAAAUUAUUAAAAAAAUAGAAAAAUAAGAAAUGGAUUUUAAUUUAAUAAAUUAAAAAAUUAAUAUAAUUUAUUUUUACAGGCAAAUAAGUUUAUGAAUAAUUCUAUUCUAUAAUGUUUUCAGAUCAUUGCAAUUUUUUUUUUUAAAAAAAAAAAAUACAACAGCUCAUUAUCAAAGCUAAGAAGACAUUUCUAAUUUGAGGUUAAAAAAAAAAAGAAAAAUUAUUGAACCAUUAUAUAUAAGAAAUUGGUAAUCAACCCAAGAAAUUGGACUUUAUUUAGUCAAAAGAUUGCAUUGUUAGUUUAUGUUGUAAUUUAUCAUACAGUUAGUGUUUUUUUAUCGUAAUGUUAGUGAAUUUAUGUUGUAAAUGUAAUUAAAAAUGUAGGCAAAACUGUGAACUAUUAUAAUUAAAAAUCUAAUACAAGUCCACAUAAUGGAGAUAAAUAACCUAUUAUAAAUAACUCUAAAUACAAAUACAUCAAAGUACAAUACAAUUAAGCAUUACAUAUAUAAUCCAAAACUUAAUAGACAUGAAGUAAGUGUAUGAUUAAGCAAUUUUCAAACAUAGAACAAAAAAUAAAAGUAGUCCUACUACAAUUACUUUCUGCAUGAACUCAAUUCUUGUUAAAAUAUGUUUAAAAUCUUCAUCCACGCCAUACAUUCUUCUUUGAACAACCUCUUCUGGUUCUUGGUAGGUGUUGCCAUCACCAUUUCCUUCCGGGAAUGCCCAUUUAAAGAAAUGACAGUCAUCUCUAGUAUUUGCAUAUUGACAACAAUAAUAUAACCUAUUUGGGUUAUCCUUUGAUUCAGAGAUUCUAACAGCCGCCCUCUGUCUGGGUAAACAUUUACACAUACAGUUAUGAUAAAGUAGAUAUUCACCAUUUCUAGUAUUACCUCUUAUAUUUCUAAAUGAAGCACUUGAAGAUGCCAUGAUGUAACCUGUAUUUCAAUGGAAAACAAGUUAAACAAAUGUAAUGAACAUGUACAAAGUCAAUAAUGAUCUUCAAAAUAACAUUAAAAACAUGGUUACAAACCACCCUAAAUAAUGAUAAGAUCAUAAGUCUAAAAUAGUGGCAUAUGUAAUACAAACAUCUUUGUCAUGACAAUCAAGUAAAUAAGUAAGUUCCAAAACAAAUUCUUACAGAUUCUAAUUUCAUAAACCACACAUAUCAUCACAAUCAAAAUAAGAUAAAAAGUAGCAUGUCACCAAACAAGCAUAACACUAGAAUCAUGGAGCGGCUAAUGGAUUUUUGCAUGAAGCUCGAUUAUGGCCUGCAACUUGACAUCGUGAACAGAAGAUAAGCCUUUUUGAACUAAAUUGCGACUCUAUUCGAUGGUGUCGAGGCCUUCUAGGUGGUCGUUUUGAGCAUAGAGGUUUAAGCGAAGGAUAUAAGCGACCUUGAACAUCACGAACACAUCCAUCAGCAUCAACUAUAGGCAUAUUGUGAUUUGGAAUUGAAUUGAAGUGUCCAGAAUAUAUCAACUCUUGCAUUGGAAGCUUGAAAUAUGAGUCAACAUAUUCAUAAACAUCUUGCUUCAUCUGGCGUAUUGCUGCACAUGCAUGCUCACAAGGUAUUCCGGCCAUUUGCCAAGCCUUACAAGUACAUGUACGCUCUCUCAAAUUCACGUCUACAUAUACUUUCAUAUUGAAUACCUUAAACACACCACCAACAUAGGGAUAUACAGGCAAUGACCCACUCUUUAUAAUGUUUUCCGACAACUUUUCCUCGGUCUUUGGGCCAAUUGCAGCUUUCCAAUUUUCUGUAGAACCCAUAUGAUCACAUGCUAGAUGAGCAAACUUAUCCAUAUGUGUCAUUACUAAGUUGAAAAUUGUGUAAUGACGUUCCUCCUUCAGCCAAGCAUUGAAUGAUUCAGCAAGAUUAGUUGUCAUCUUAUCCCAUCGUUUUUUGGCAAACUUUGACAUUGCCCAAUGUUGUGGACUGUUCUCUUCAACCCACUUCGCUAGGUCACUGUUAUAUGUCUUUAAUUUUUCCAUGGCUACAACAUAAUCAUCAUCCAACCUAGCAUACGCAACAUUAUCAAGUAGCAACAAUGCAUCCAUUUUACAUUUUUUUUCCCUUCAUACUAUGUUUCGUCACAUAGCUACUAAAAUUCUCUUUCACAUGACGAUAACAAUAUGCAUGAUUUUCUACUCCAAAAAGUUGAGAAACACUAUGAAGGAUUGCUUGAUGCCUAUCUGAUAUUAUGACUACCUCUUUAUCUUGAAGUAUGCCCUUCAAUUUCUACAAAAACCAUAGCCAAUCCUCAUAGUUUUCUGAACUUACAACACCAAAUGCAAUUGGGAACAUGCCAUCAUCAGCAUCAUAAGCUGUUACAGAAAAUAAAGAGCCCCUAUACGGUCCACUCAAAUAAGUUAAGUCAAUUGCAAUAACAGGUCGACAACCCAUUAAAAACCCUUGAAUUGAAAAAGAAUGUGCAAUGAACAAUUGCCAAAAAUGCCCAUCUUGUGUGCUAUAUUCAGCAAUCGUCCCUGGAUUAAUGUCUACCAAUCUCUGACAUAACCAUGGCAACAACAUAUAUGAGUUUUCUGGAAGACCAUAUAUUCUCUCUUUUGCCAUUUCUUUGUAUGUCCAAGCUUGCUUAUAACUCAAUGAAACACCAUACCGACUCCUGAAGUCUUUACAAAUUUGAAGGGGCAAAUACUGAGGGGUUGCCCUUAUUACUUGCUCUAUGACACGAGCACCUCUCCUUCCCCUCAUUGAAGGUUGGCUUGAACACUCAACAUUUGCACAAUGAUUGUGUACAUCAAUGAAGAUGUUAACCUUCAAAAUUUUGGUUGUGCCUAUUGAAUUAGCAGUUAUUCUCCAAUGGCACCCAUCCACUAAACAGCACACAGAUAUUCGCUUUGGAGAGUUCUUUUUGAAUUUGUAUUGAAAUCUACCAACUAAUGACAUCGUAUAUAAUGCAUUUCUAAAUUCAUCUGCAUUAGGAAAACUAUGCCCACUCCCAAUAAUAGGUUGAGGACAAAGACUUAAAUCAUGUGGCAUAAUUUCAGUUUCUGCACAUCUGGACAUGAAGCCUUGAGAAAGUCUUAAAUUAGACUCAUUGUUUGCUUGACAUGAUGCAACUGAAUUGUGUGUUUCCUCCGUACUAUUGUGACUGCAUAUUAUAGCACACUCAAUUAAUUAAUAUUAAAAGCACUUUGCAUCAUGGAAUUAAUGACAACUAAUACAAGAUAUAUCACUUACCAAUAAUCAUUUUGCACAUUGACUAUACCUCCUUCAACUUCUACUCUUCGAGUCCGUUUUAAUACAUAAAUACGAGCAUAAUCAUAACUAUGGGAUAACAUCAUAUGCAUGUCCUCAUCAUCAUCCAACUGUUGAAGUGCAGAUGGAUCAAACUCAAGGGUGUAAUGAAAUGUAUAUCCAUUUGAAUUAAUAUCCAACCGUUCACAUGCCUUUGAAACAAAUUCAGCAUAUGACAUCCUUUGUCCAAUGUACAUGCCUUUUUGUUGUCCACCCUUGUAUUGUAUUUGUUUAUCCUCCUUCGGUACAAUCUCCCCUCCUUCAUGAAGGUAGCCAUAAAUGGAAUUUUCCAAGUCCAUUUACCAAUUCAAAAGUACGUCUUCUUUCACCGACAAUCAAAUCAAUCUAUUUCACAAUAUUACAACCAAUGAAAAUUUUACAACGAAUACAAAAUAAACAAAUGAAAAUUAUAAUCAAUUGAGAGACAUAUUUUAUAUAACAAAUAAUGAUAUUUGUUGUAUAUUAUACAUGUUAGGGAUAUGCCAAAGAACCCAUAAUUGCCCAGUUUCAUAAGAAAUUUCACAUUUUCAAAAUUUUACCUUAUCGUAAUGUGUCGUAAUGUUAUUGUAUUUGUAUUGUAAUUGUAAUGUAUUCUUAUUAUACCUCUAUAUUUUUAUAUAAAAAAAAUUAAUUUUAUAGAUUUUUUUUCUAUCCAUCAUUGGAUUAUCAUCAACAACUAUUUCACAAUAUUACAAUCAAUGAAAAUUUUACAACGAAUACAAAAUAAACAAAUGAAAAUUAUAAUCAAUUGAGAGACAUAUUUUAUAUAAUAAAUAACAAUAUUUGUUGUAUAUUAUACAUGUUAGGGAUAUGCCAAAGAACCCAUAAUUGCCCAGUUUCAUAAGAAAUUUGACAUUUUAAAAAUUUUACGUUAUCGUAAUAUGUCGUAAUGUUAUUGUAUUUGUAUUGUAAUUGUAAUGUAUUCUUAUUAUACCUCUAUAUUUUUAUAUAAAAAAAUUAAUUUUAUAGAUUUUUUUUUUUAUCCAUCAUUGGAUUAUCAUCAACAACUAUUUCACAAUAUUACAAUCAAUGAAAAUUUUACAACAAAUAGAAAAUAAACAAAUGAAAAUUAUAAUCAAUUGAGAGACAUAUUUUAUAUAAUAAAUAACAAUAUUUGUUGUACAUUAUACAUGUUAGGGAUAUGGCAAAGAACCCAUAAUUGCCCAGUUUCAUAAGAAAUUUGACAUUUUCAAAAUUUUACCUUAUCGUAAUGUAUCACAAUGUUAUUGUAUUUGUAUUGUAAUUGUACUGUAUUUUUAUUAUACCUCUAUAUUUUUAUAUAAAAAAAUUAAUUUUAUAGAUUUUUUUUAUCCAUCAUUGGAUUAUCAUCAACAACUAUUUCACAAUAUUACAAUCAAUGAAAAUUUUACAACGAAUACAAAAUAAACAAAUGAAAAUUAUAAUCAAUUGAGAGACAUAUUUUAUAUAAUAAAUAACAAUAUUUGUUGUAUAUUAUACAUGUUAGGGAUAUGCCAAAGAACCCAUAAUUGCCCAGUUUCAUAAGAAAUUUGACAUUUUCAAAAUUUUACCUUAUCGUAAUGUGUCGUAAUGUUAUUGUAUUUGUAUUGUAAUUGUAAUGUAUUCUUAUUAUACCUCUAUAUUUUUAUAUAAAAAAAAUUAAUUUUAUAGAUUUUUUUUUUUUUGUCCAUCAUUGGAUUAUCAUCAACAACUAUUUCACAAUAUUACAAUCAAUGAAAAUUUUACACCGAAUACAAAAUAAACAAAUGAAAAUUAUAAUCAAUUGAGAGACAUAUUUUAUAUAAUAAAUAACAAUAUUUGUUGUAUAUUAUACAUGUUAGGGAUAUGCCAAAGAACCCAUAAUUGCCCAGUUUCAUAAGAAAUUUGACAUUUUCAAAAUUUUACCUUAUCGUAAUGUGUCGUAAUGUUAUUGUAUUUGUAUUGUAAUUGUAAUGUAUUUUUAUUAUACCUCUAUAUUUUUAUAUAAAAAAAAUUAAUUUUAUAGAUUUUUUUUUUAUCCAUCAUUGGAUUAUCAUCAACAACUAUUUCACAAUAUUACAAUCAAUGAAAAUUUUACAACGAAUACAAAAUAAACAAAUGAAAAUUAUAAUCAAUUGAGAGACAUAUUUUAUAUAAUAAAUAACAAUAUUUGUUGUAUAUUAUACAUGUUAGGGAUAUGUCAAAGAACCCAUAAUUGCCCAGUUUCAUAAGAAAUUUGACAUUUUCAAAAUUUUACCUUAUCGUAAUGUAUCGCAAUGUUAUUGUAUUUGUAUUGUAAUUGUACUGUAUUUUUAUUAUACCUCUAUAUUUUUAUAUAAAAAAAUUAACUUUAUAGAUUUUUUUUAUCCAUCAUUGGAUUAUCAUCAACAACUAUUUCACAAUGUUACAAUCAAUGAAAAUUUUACAACGAAUACAAAAUAAACAAAUGAAAAUUAUAAUAAAUUGAGAGACAUAUUUUAUAUAAUAAAUAACAAUAUUUGUUGUAUAUUAUACAUGUUAGGGAUAUGCCAAAGAACCCAUAAUUGCCCAGUUUCAUAAGAAAUUUCACAUUUUCAAAAUUUUACCUUAUCGUAAUGUGUCGUAAUGUUAUUGUAUUUGUAUUGUAAUUGUAAUGUAUUCUUAUUAUACCUCUAUAUUUUUAUAUAAAAAAAAUUAAUUUUAUAGAUUUUUUUUUUAUCCAUCAUUGGAUUAUCAUCAACAACUAUUUCACAAUAUUACAAUCAAUGAAAAUUUUACAACGAAUACAAAAUAAGCAAAUGAAAAUUAUAAUCAAUUGAGAGACAUAUUUUAUAUAAUAAAUAACAAUAUUUGUUGUAUAUUAUACAUGUUAGGGAUAUGCCAAAGAACCCAUAAUUGCCCAGUUUCAUAAGAAAUUUGACAUUUUCAAAAUUUUACCUUAUCAUAAUGUAUCGCAAUGUUAUUGUAUUUGUAUUGUAAUUGUACUGUAUUUUUAUUAUACCUCUAUAUUUUUAUAUAAAAAAAUUAAUUUUAUAGAUUUUUUUUAUCUAUCAUUGGAUUAUCAUCAACAACUAUUUCACAAUAUUACAAUCAAUGAAAAUUUUACAACGAAUACAAAAUAAACAAAUGAAAAUUGUAAUCAAUUGAGAGACAUAUUUUAUAUAAUAAAUAACAAUAUUUGUUGUAUAUUAUACAUGUUAGGGAUAUGCCAAAGAACCCAUAAUUGCCCAGUUUCAUAAGAAAUUUGACAUUUUCAAAAUUUUACCUUAUCGUAAUGUAUCGUAAUAUUAUUGUAUUUGUAUUGUAAUUGUACUGUAUUUUUAUUAUACCUCUAUAUUUUUAUAUAAAAAAAAUUAAUUUUAUAGAUUUUUUUUAAUCCAUCAUUGGAUUAUCAUCAACAACUUCAUGUAUUGAAAUUACAAUAGUGUAUUUUUGUUGAUGUUUUUUUUUAUAAUUUUGGCUUGCAAGGAUGCUUUAUGAUAUGAAUACAACAUGAUAGCCUAGAAAUGCCAAUUCAGUAAAAAAUAAUUCAAUAUUUUGUCAUUUUGGUAUAUUGUAAUGUAUCAUAAUGUUAAUAUUUUUUCAUUGUAACUAUAUUGCAUUUGUAUUGUACUUAUACUUUAUAACUGAAAUAAUGGUUCUUUUACACAACCUUCAAACUACUAGGCAUUCGACUCAUCAUACCAAAAUAAUACUUACACAAAAAGGUAACAAAUUUGUAACAAAAAUAUAGUGAUCUUAACUCUUUAACAAAUUCAUAAUAAAAGACAAAGUGGUCUCGUACAAAGGGGAUUUCAGUUUUCAAUGACAAUCCAAAUAUGUUUAUAAAUACACAAACAAAGUGGUCCCAAACAAGCAUGAAACAACUGAGAACAUUUUUUCUUCAAUCAUGUCAAAAAGUCUUAACAACAAAACUAAAGUGCAAACCUUUUCAAUGGAAAUCAAUAAUAAUCAUAUCAAACAACCCACCCAGAAAAUAAAUUAAAAAUAAAAACACAUCUUCAAUAUGACCUAAAUAAUAUUAAAAAAUUCAAAAUAAUAAAUUUAAAUAACAUUUAAAAAAAAUGUAAUUUCUUUCUCAAAACCUCAUUCAAUAUUUCAGAUCUAAUAUCUUACAACUACAUUGUUAAAAUUAUUAACUUUUCCUUCAUUCAAUCCGAUUUUUAAAUUAUUUAUUUAUUUUUCCAUAAACUGACGUUUUUUUUGUAUUAAAAAAAAAAACUGACCUUUAAUGGAUUUCUUGCUAGAUUCACAAAAAAAAACAAGUUUUGUGUAUCGGUUGCAGAGAAUGACCUGAAGUGCGCACCUUUUUCCUUUCCCCUUUUUCUUCUACAACUCGGCUCUAGGUAGGUUAAAGAAAGGGAGAAUAAACUCUUUUUUAUUUUCUGUUGCUUUUCACUUUACUUGCUUUUCACUUAUUAAGGGUAGUAUUGGCAUUUAAACAAAAUAAGGCAUUUGGAGGAAUUAUCAUAAUUUUACCCUACCCUUUACAAUAAUUAUCAAAUUUACCCACCCUCAUUGGUCAUUUUUUUCCCCAGCCUACCCUUAAGGGUAAUUCUCCCUUUAAAUAUCAUGUUUGUUAAUUAUUAUUAUUACUUCAUACGUAUUUGUUUAUCCUCUUCUAAGAAUCGCAUUCAUUAAAGUCCAAUUCCUUCAAAAAUCCCAUGUCUCAAUUUAAUGUUCAAUCCUAAAAAUUCCACUAUUCGUCUAAAUGUUAUUUUCAUCAAUUAGAAUUAUAAUCUCAUACUUAUCUAGUUAUUUAAAGUCUAAUCCUUCAAAAAUCCUCCGCCCUAAUUCAAUUUCUCAAUAACUCGUCCAAAUCUUAUUUUCAUCAUUUAGAAUUAUAAUCCCAUACUCAUCUAGUUAUUUAAAGUCUAAAAUCCUUUAAAAAAACCUCUGCCUUAAUUCAAUUUUUCAAUAACUCAUUCAAAUCUUGUUUUCAUCAAUUAGAAUUAUAAUCUCAUACUUAUCUAGUUAUUUAAAGUCUAAUCCUUCAAAAAUCCUCCGCCCUAAUUCAAUUUCUCAAUAACUCAUCCAAAUCUUAUUUUCAUCAUUUAGAAUUAUAAUCCCAUACUCAUCUAGUUAUUUAAAGUCUAAAAUCCUUUAAAAAAAUCCUCUACCUUAAUUCAAUUUUUCAAUAACUUGUUCAAAUCUUGUUUUCAUCAAUUAGAAUUAUAAUCUCAUACUUAUCUAGUUAUUUAAAGUCUAAUCCUUCAAAAAUCCUCCGCCCUAAUUCAAUUUCUCAAUAACUCGUCCAAAUCUUAUUUUCAUCGAUUAGAAUUAUAAUCCCAUACUCAUCUAGUUAUUUAAAGUCCAAAAUCCUUUAAAAAAUCAUGUGUCUUAAUUUAAUUCUUCAAUAAUUAGUUCAAAUCUUAUUUUGAUCAAUCGAAUCAUUAUCCCGUAUUUAUUUAGCUAUUCAAAGCUUAAUCCUUCAAAAAUCCCCUAUCUUAAUUUAGUCUUUCACUAAUUCGUUUAAAUCUUAUUUUCAUCAAUUAGAAUUAUUAUCCCGUAGUUAUCUCGUUAUUUAAGGUCUAACCUUUCAAAAGAAUCACAUGUCUUAAUUUAAUUCUCCAAAUACUCGUUUAAAUCUUAUGUUCAUCAACUAGAAUUAUUAUCCUAUAUUCAUCUAUCUAUCUAGUCUAAUCCUUCAAAAAUCCCAUGUUUUAAUUUAAUUCUUCAAAUAUUUGUUUAAAUCAUAUUUUCAUAAAUCAAAUCAUUAUCCCGUAUUUAUUGGUUAUUCAAAGUCUAAUCCAUCCAAAAAAUCGCAUGUCUUAAUUUAAUUCUUCAAAUACUCGUUUAAAUCUUAUGUUCAUCAACUAGGAUUAUUAUCCCAUAUUCAUCUAUUUAUUUAAAAUCUAGUUUUUCAAAAAUCUCGUGUCUUAAUUUAAUUUUUCAAAUCCCAAAAAUUCUACAAUUCGUCUAAAUUUUAUCCUCAUCAAUUAGAAUCAUUAUUCCAUAUCUAUUCAAAGUCCAAUAUUUCGAAAACCCCAUGUCUUAAUUAAAAUUUCAAUCCCAAAAACUCUACUAUUUAUCUUUAUUUGACUAAAUAUUAUUCUUGUUAAUUAGUAUUAUAAUCUCAUACCUACCUAUUCAUUCGAAGUCUAAUCUUUCAAAAAUCCAACGCCCUAAUUCAAAUUUUCAAUUAGGAAAAUUCCACUAUUCUUUUUUUAUUCGUUUAAACAUUAUUUUUGUUAAAUAGUAUCAUUAUUCCAUAUUUAUUUAUUUAUUUAUUUCAAUCAUUAAAAUUCAAUUCUUCAAAACCGGAUUUCCAAAUUUAACCUUUAGACUAAAAAAUUCCACCAUUCACUUUUAUUCAUUUAAAUAUCAUCUUUGUUAUCAUUAUUAUAAAUUCCACGUUUACUUAUUUCUUUCUUCUAAAAAUUCCAAUAAUUAGAGUUCAAUUAUUCAAAGAUCCGACUUUCAAACUUAAUUUUCAAAAUCCCGCUACUCACUUUCAUCCAUUCAAAUAUCACUUUUGUCAAAAUCCAAUUUUCCAAUUUAAUUUUUAAUCUCACAAAUCUCACUAUUCACUUUUCAUCCGUCCAAAUAUCAUUUUGAUUAAUUUAUAGCAUUAUUCCAUAUUUACCUAUUUAUUUCUCUUAAAAAUCUCAAUCAUUAAAGUCUAAUUCUUCAAAAUUCCAAUUUCUAAAUUUAGCUAUCUAAAAUUCCGAGUGUCCUAUCUCUGAACUUAAUUUUCAGUUCCUAAUAUUCUGAUUAUCGUAUUUACCCAGUUACUCAUUUGUUAUCAUCAUUAUUUUUACUACCAUUUUAUUUGUUCAUUUCUAAAAAGUCCGCCUUCAAAUGAUUUUCGAGAUUUCCAAUUUUCAUAAUUUCUACUUCUCAAAUAACUCACGAUUAUGAUUUCUUUCAAAAUUUAACUCCCAAGGUUCCAAUUUUCGCAACUUAAUCUUUCUUUAAAAUCUCGAACCUUCAAAUCUUUUUCAAAAUUCCAAACCUCUUUCAAAUUCAAGUUCUAAAAAUUCUCAUUCUCACCUUCAAUCUCUAAAAGUCUGAUCUCCAAAUAAACUCUAAAACUCCAACUUUCUAGUGAUCUUUGAGAUUCCAAUUUUUCAAUUAAAUUUCAAAAAUCUAAUUUUCUCCUGAAUAGUUUUAAUUCCGCUUUAGCUUUCAAACGAUCUUCCGCUCCUCUUGGUUUUAGUAAGCGUGAAUGAAUUUUUCAUAAUUCCAGAAUAAUGGAAUCUGUGACAUUAAGUUGUGUUAAAUAAACGGGCUUUGGUGGGGACCCAACAUGGGUGACUUUAUGAUUAAUUGAUUAAUUGAUUGGAUGAUCGUACAUCCUGCUCUCUGACAUGCAUGCGAUUAUUUCUUAAUUGUGUACUGAUUCCAUUUCUAUGAUAGUGCACUGUUCGUUCAUGGCCCAGGUACGCACCCAUUCCUAUUCUGCUCAUUCUCCAUUGCAUGUUUCGAUUCCCAUAUGCGCCUAAUCGAUUUGAGUAUCCAUUGAUCUUCCUAUUGAUUGCCAUGUCAACUUCAUUUUAUUAGUAGAGACCCAACUUUAGGGACUUAGAGGGGUGCUACGGUCUUUACCGUACCUUCCUGAUAAGCAACCUGACCCCCGAGCCCGAUCCGGUUUUUCGUAGAUCACGUUUUCCAAAAUAAGGAGUCGCACUUAGGGUUUUCUUUCUUAUUUUGUUACCCUUUAAAAAUAAAACAAAAAUAAGUGGCGACUCCAAGUCAAUUUUUCUUAAUCAAUAAAAAUCAUUUUUCAAAUUAAAAUCGAGCUCGUCAUCGAGUGAGAAACGCUUGAGCCGAAAUAUGGGAUCCACAAAUAUAUUUAUUUUUUGAAAUACCUUUUUACUUAAUAAUAUUAAAUAAAAUUAUCAAAAAAUUAAUUUAUCAUUUUAAUUUGAUAAAAAUAUCUUAUAAAUAAAUAUAUUUGUGGGCCCACGUUUUUCACGUGCAUCCCCACUUGACCGCGAGACUCUCUUUUUAUUUAUUAGUAAAAAUUUGAUUUUUAGAAAAAAACUUGGAGUCACCACUUAUUUUUAUUUUAUUUUUUAAGGGAAAAAUAAAAUAAAAAACAAAAACCCUAAGUGUGACUCUAAAGGAAAAAAACAGGCCUGUGAAAAAUCGAAUAUAGAUUCGAGGGUCAAGUUACCUAUUGGGAAGGUACAAUGGCAAGCCAUAGCACCCCUUUAAGCCCGUAUACAUACGGUCUCUACUAAACGAAUGAAGGGAAUUGUGACAAUUAAUUAAUUAAUCAUAAAUACCAAGAUUAAAGGAAUAAAACAAUAUACACAAAGAUGAUGACAAAAUAAAAUUACAAAAAUGUACAAAAUAAAUGACAAUAGAAUUAUGUAAAUUGAUUUAUUGAACUAAUUAAAAAUAUAUAUAUAUAUAUAUAUUUGAAAAAAAUUAGUUUUCUGAAAAUUUCAAAGAAUUUUAUUUUUUUUACAAAAAAGAGUCAAUUUAUUUUCUCAAUUUCAUUUGUAUUCAAUUUUCAAAAAAGUUAUUUACACUUAUUGUAUCAAAAGAAUUUAUUACAAAAUUUCAAUUUGGUCACAAAAAUUAUUUUUACUCUCUUUUAUUAAAAAUGAAUGAAUUUUUACAAUUUUAUUUAUAAAAAACAAAAAGUGUAUAAUUUUUUUUUCAUUUAAGACAAAUGACUUAUACAAAUUAUUAAAAAAAAAAUAACUUUAUUUGCAAAAUAAUUUUUAAUUAAAAAAAAUUAAAUCCUCUAUUUCUAAAAAUUACUUUCAUCCCAUUGUAAUUAAGGAAAAAGAAUUUUAUUUUUAAAAAACAUCUUUUGGACAAUUUUAUUAAAAAUUAAUUUUUGGGACAACUUUAUUUGCAAAACAAUUUUCAGGCAAUUUUUAUUAAACAAAUAAAUUUUUGGACAUUUUUAUUAAAAAAAAAUUAAAUUCUAUUAAAAAUAUUUUUAUAAAUUUUUCUAAAAGCAUUUUUCUGAAUUUUUAUUAAUAAAAAAAAUCUUUUAUUAAGAAGAAUAUUUUAAAAUUAUUAUUUUAUUAAAACAUAUUUACUAAAUUAUUCCUUUUAUUUAAACAAAAUUUCUGGUUUGUUUGAUAUCUAGUUCUGUACAUAUUCAAUAAAUAUAUACAAACAAAUAUUUAUAGAAACCAAUAAAAAUAAAAUCAAAUAGUAGUGGGAAAUAAAAUAUAUACUCAAAUAAGCUUACAACAAGGUCAAUGUCUUCCUACAGUUUUUUUAUUCUCACUUUUUUCCAUGAAAUUUAGUGUUCCACAUGUCAUAAAUCCAUACUUAGCCAACAAAAUUACAAAAUGAGUUCAUGCAAAAACAAAAAAUAAUUCAAAUAUAAAUAUUCAAAAAUGUACAAAAGUACAAAACAAAUAUUCGAAUCCAAAUCCAAACUUCAAAUUAGACCAAUAAAUUUCAUCAAUCAAAAUAGAUCAAAAUUAGUAAAUAUAACCCAACAAAAAUAUCUCACAUGUCAUAGGCCCUAAUAUAAAAUUUUCAAAUUAAUAGUCAUAAAUUAAACUCAAUUAAUCAAACUCAAAACAUGAUAAAUUAAAAUAAAUCUCAUUAGGCAUAAAUUCAAUAUCCCAUAAUACAAGCCUAAUAUGCAAACCCACAUCCAAAAUAUACCACUAUAUUAUAUCAUAUCCAAAUUAAAUAAUUCAAAUAUGUACAACCAUAUAAAUUAUCAAUUAAUCUAACCCAAAUUAACAAAUUCCAAAUUAAUUCACCAACAAUAAAUGAACCUAAAUUUCAUAUUAAUUUACCAACAAUAAAUUAACCAAAAUUCCAUAUUAAUUAACAAAGCUCAAAUUUCAUAUUAAUUCAAUAAUCCAAAUUUCACAAACAAUAAUUACUAUUAAAAUCAAAACAAGAAAAAGUAAAAUAAAUCAAAAUGAAUUUACACUUUUUUUUGGAGACCAUGAGGCAUGCAGUGGUUGGAGAGGAAAAUAAAUAAAUAUGAAAAUUAAAGACGAUAAGAGAAAGGUGAUAUUGGAAGUGGGGUCGGUGUCAUGUCGUCGGCGUCACGUUGCGAGCAAUGGCGCCAGCAUGGUGAGGGGAAAAGGAAAGAAAAAUGAAGAGAAAAAAGAAAAAAAAAAUGAAGGAAAGUGGGGAGCGGGUGGCAGUUCAACGGAAAGAAGCGUUUUUGUGGGGGAGAAAAAGUGGAAGAAGAAAGAGAGAAAAUCUGGAGUAAAAAAAAAAAAAAAAAGUCAGUUGGUGUGUGCUUUGUGAGUGGUUGAAAAAAAUAGGUGAAAAAAAUGGGGAAGAAGGGGAAAAAAUCGACCCUACGGGGCGUUGGGUUGUGUGUAGAGUGGUCCACCUAGAAGAUGAAGAAGAAAGAGAGCAAUAAUAAGGGAAAAGGAAUGGGUCUGCUGGUGUGUGGGUGUUGGGGGCGAGAAGAAAAAAGAAAAAUAGGGAAGGAAAAAAAUGGGGUUGGCCACUCUAAAAUACAAAUGGGAAGAAAAAAACUAAAAAGAAAAAGGGGAAAUGAGAAGAGAGAGAAGAGGAAAGAGAUGAGGGGAUGGUCUUUGCACGUGGGGGUAAGAGAGAGAGAGAGAGAGAGAGAGAGAGAAAGAGAAAGAGAGAGAGAAUGAGUAGGGUUGUUGGGGAAGGAAUGGAAGAGAGGUGAGAGAAAAGAAAGAAAAGAAAAAAUAUAAUAAUAAUAAUAAUAAAUAAUAUAAAAUAUUAAAAACUAAUAAUUAAAUAUUGAGUAGAUUAAAAAUAUCAUUACAGGAUUUAAUUUUAAGAGUAAAAUUGAAGAGGGAUUUAAUUUUAAGAGUAAAAUUGGAGAGAGAGAGAAUGAGUAGGGUUGUUGGGAAGGAAUGGAAGAGAGAGGUGAGAGAAAAGAAAGAAAAGAAAAAAUAUAAUAAUAAUAAUAAUAAUAUAAAAUAAAAUAAUAUAAUAUGUAAAAUAAUAAAAACUAAUAAUUAAAUAUUGAGUAGAUUAAAAAUAUCAUAUGUAAUUGGGAUUUAAUUUUAAGAGUAAAAUUGGAGAGAGAGAAUGAGAAGGGUUGUUGGGAAGGAAUGGAAGAGAGAGGUGAGAGAAAAGAAAGAAAAGAAAAAAUAUAAUAAUAAUAAUAAUAAUAUAAAAUAAAAUAAUAUAAUAUGUAAAAUAAUAAAAACUAAUAAUUAAAUAUUGAGUAGGUUAAAAAUAUCAUAUGUAAUCGGGAUUUAAUUUUAAGAGUAAAAUUGGACUAAAAAUUAAUGUAAAGAUAAAAUUAUGACAAAUUUUGGGUCUACAAUAUUAUAAUUUUUUUAUUAUAUAAUAUUAGAUAUAAAUCAUUUUGAAAAAAUUCUCCAAGAUCCUCAAAUGAUUAAUAAGAUUUUUCUAAUUCUCUUAUUAAUAAUGAUUUUAAAUACUAUAUUAUAUAAAUAUAUUCAUCUUCUUAUUUUUUUAAAUAAAAUUUAAUAAAAAUUUUAUUAGUUGGCAUCAACAAUAAAAUAAGAAAUUUUAAAAUUAAAAAUACAAUUAAAAUUAAAAUACUUAAAAAUUAAAUACAAUUAAAAUAAAAAAUUAGAAAUUAAAUACAAUUAAAACCAAAAAUUUUAAAAAAUAAAAAAUUUUAAAAAUAAAAAAUUGACUUUAAUUGUAUUUCCAAUUCUUUCUUGAUAUCUAUAUUUUCUACUAGUAUCAUUUAACAAAGUGAAAAUUAUUUAUUUUUAUAUUUUUAACUUUAAAGUUUUUAAAUUUUAGUUGUAUUUUUUAAUUUCUUAUUUUAAUCAUUUAAAAAAAAUUGUAUGUUAUCAUCCUAACAAGUAAAGGAUCCUUUUAAGAAAUAAAUAUGUGAUUUAUGAAAUAGUAUAUGUAUUUUAAAGUAUUUUUAAAUAGAUAAAAAUAAAAUUAAUUUAUAAAAAUUGAGAAUACUUUUUUUAUAUAUAAUUUUUUUAAUUAGUGAAUUAAAAUCCAUUUUUCCAUUAUUUAUUUAUUUUUGACACAUGGAGAGCAAUUCUUGGAAAAAAAAAAGUAAAACAAAAAAAAAAACAACAACAACAACCUUCAAACAGGCUUUUUGUUAUUAUUAUUUUCUUGUAUUGGCAUUGCAAGUGGUGAGAUUGUUUAUUGUUUCUUUGGUCAUAUGGUGAGCAAUUCCUUCAAACGCUGGUGUCAAAUAAUAGAAGAUACUUAUAUAUGCGUUGAUGCUUAGAGGAGCCUAUUUCCUAUUAAACCCAUUCAAGGUCUUUGGAAAAGUCUUAUUAUGUAACCAGGCUGAUGUCAUAAACUCAAUUUCAUUAAAUUCAGAUCUGGUAAACAUCCAUGCAUUGACAGCCAUGCUCAACAUUGAUAUAGGCUUUCAUAUCCCCAAAAAGAGUCCAAAUAGGUGUUUUCCAUUUUUCUUUUCUUGUCUCUUUUUUUUUUUCUCCUUUUUUUCUUUUUUUCUUUUUUUUUUCCUUUACAUAAAAAGGAUAUACUGAUAUUGCUUUAGAUUAUGAUUUGAUCUAAAUUUACUGAAUGAUUGUAAUUGAUUACUAUAUAUCGACUAUUAUUAAUAUUAAUUGAAAAAAGAAUUUAUAUACAUAUUUUUCUUUUGCUAUUCAAUUUAUAGGAAAAGAAAGUUGUUUCUUUCAAGCAAAGAUUAAUGUUCAUUUUCUAGAAAUUGAAUUUUCAUAAGAUAGUUUUCUUCUUCAUUUUUCAUGGUAGAUUUCUCAUCUUUGAAUGAUUCAACAACACAAAUAUUUCAACAUAUUUAUAGUUCACAUUCGACUUUUCUCAAGAUAGUUUUCUUAUUCUUUCUUUAAGGUAGAUUUCUCAUCUUUGAAUGAUUCAAGCAACACAAAUAUUUCAACAUAUUUAUCAUUUACACGCAUGUUUUCCAUUUUCAAUUUAAUGCAUUCAUACAAGAGCUUUUAACAUUCUGGAGUAAUAUUAUUAAAUACACAACCGUCCUUAUUAAAAUCACUAUCAAAAGAAAAUUCAAUAUGAGACUCAACUGAUGCAACAAAAGCUAUAUACUCAUUUUGCUCAUACUUGAUAUCUCCAUGAUUUGAGGUCUCAUGGUCACUUAAAUAUGUAUCACUCCAUGUAACAUGCAUAGCCUUUUUUACAUCUCUUGGACUAUGACAUUCAAAACCAUGUGUUCUACUAGGUCACAGUUAAAACAUUUGCUUUUACUUGAAAUGAGACAUUUAAUUUUUCAUUAAGGUUAUGGUUGAUUUCUGAAAAAUACUAAAGGAAAGAAAAAAAAUACAAAGGGAAAUGAUUUAUUCAUGUUUGGCUGUUCAAUGAAAAAUAUCAAAUAAAAUUAAAUAUAAUUAAAACUAAUUAAAAAGUUAUGUAUUUUUAAAUUAUUUAAUAUUUAUAUCGAUGGGUUAAAAUAAGUAAAAUGAGUUUGAAGUAGAAAAUAAAAAUAAUUUAUUGACUUUUAAUCUAUUUUUUAUUUUCCUUCACUUUUUUUUUCCUUCACUUUUUUUUUUCCUUUUACUUUUCAUUUGUAUUUUCUUUCCCUUAUAUUUUUCCUCAAAUUUUUCAGGAAUCAAACAUAACCUAAGGGAAUUGUCAAUUCUUUUUUCUUUUCUUUGAGUUUCAAUUUUUUAAAGUGUUUUUUUUUUUUUUGAGCUAUCAUGGUAUAUUUGAGCAUUUUAGGGUCAUUUAUAAUUAUAAGUCAUUGAUUACUAACUCCAUACUCCUUUUGUUCAUUCUUAGACACCUUAAAAGUGGUUUUCCAUGGUUUGUGAGAAUCAGUAAGGGAUAUCUCAAACAGGCAUCUCAAACAUCUAACAAGAGCCAAUAAGUUCAUCAACUCUUAGAGAGUUGAUGUCUGUAGCAGUAACCUUAGGUUUAAAAAUCUCAUAGGGAGAUAUCUCAAAAUUUUUCUUACGAUGUUGUAAUCAAGGAUUUUCUCCCCAAGGCUAAAACUUGAAAUGACAACAUCACUUAAUUUUAAGUAAAGAGUAGUAAAGGUCUCAUCUUCUUUCAUUUUUAUACUCUCAAAUUUAGUAGUGAGCAUUUGUAAUUUGAAUAACUUCAUAGCCAAGGUACCCUUAUUUGUGAUUGAGAGAUUUUCUUAGGCUUCUCUAGCAUGUUUACAUAUGAAUAUCUUACGAAGAUUUGUAAGGACUAACCCUAUUAAAUAUACUAUAGAGUGCUUAGGCAUUCACUUCAUUGCCCUUAUUAUCUAUUUUAUGCAAUUCUUUGCUAGACUUAUUAAGUUCACCGAUGAAUCUUCUAGUACCAUCCAAUUUUAAUGGCAGGCCCCAUCCAAAUUCCAUUGCAUUCCAAACUUGUUCUCCUUGCAUUUUCAAGAAAAAACUCCAUAUGGGCCUUCUAAUGUGGAUAAUUGUUGUCAUCAAAAUAUGGCGAGUUGUUUAUGGAAGACCCAACCCUCUAUGGUUCCAUAACUUAGACAUAACAGGAUUGAAAAUUUUUUAUUUUUAAAAUUUGUCCUAGUUUGGAUCUUGUUUAUGGUUCAACCUAGGACGAGGGAAAGGGGUGGGCACUGAAUAGAUAGUUCUUUCUUUUUAGCCCUUUUUUUUAAAAAAAAAAAAAAAUUCUCUUUAAGAAUUAAAGAUGAGUGUAGAAGAAGACAAGGAUUUAUAUGGAAAACCACCAACAAAGUCUCUAUAUGAGUAUAAUAACAAUGGGUUAGAGAUCGUAGAGUAUAAAUCCACUAUCAAAAGAUCAAUACAUAGAUUUACUUGACAAAAGUUAUCCCUAUGACUUACUCCCAAGUACCUACACUAGUCUUUACAUCUAUGAUGUAGCCCCCACAUGCACCUGGUGGACUACCUCAACACCUAAUGGGAUAUGAAUGUCUCGUGAACUCAAGGAAUGAGAAUCACCCAAAAUUGAGAGUCUUGGUACACAACAAAGGCUAGUAAUCUUCUUUCACCAAAAUUUGCAUCACAAAAAAAUUUAAAAUAUGGAAAUAAUAAAAAUAAAUUAUGAAUAGGAAUUUGGAGAAAACUACUUCGAGAGCACUGAGAAGUGCUUAAGCGCUCAUGUAGAGUUUAAAAACCAAUUUUAAAACACUUUUAGCUGAAUUCAAAAUCUAACAUCAACUUCAUGUCAUAAUUAAUUUACCCCCGUUAGCCUUUCUCGGACCUCUUUAUACUUACUUGUGUCAUCCUAAUUGAUGACCCAAGAAAUUUGAAUCUUUGAUAGAGAGUAAGACAUAAUAAUAUAAAAACUCCUAAAUCAAGACGAAUUGAACAAAAUUAUCAACUUAAACUAACUUAAUGCACUAACAACGAAUAUGAAUAAAACCAUUAAACUCAAAAUAAUAUUAAUUUAAGAAUAAAAUACAUAGAAAUCAAACAUAUUUUUCUUCAAACGCAUACUUUAAAAAUAAAAAAUAGAAACUCAAAAAUUAUAUCAAAAUAAACAUUCUAAAAUUUUCUAAGGAAAAAAAAGUAAUAAAAAUAUAAAGACAUUUUCAAAAAAGUAAAGAAAAAAAGUAAAAAGAAAAUUAGGCAAGAAUUCUUGAUAUAUUUCUUUGAAUGUGAUUCUACAUGAAAAGAACCUGAAAAAAAAGAAAAAAAAACUACAAAAGUAUAAAUAAGAUAAGGAUAUUUAAAAAAUAAAAUUAAAGAAAUAAUGUGAUAAGUAUGUGAAUUAAAAUAACUUAAGACUCAAAAAAAUUACUAUAAGACAAAGGUGCUACAAAAAUUAAAGAAAAUUUUCAUCAAAGCAAAUCUUAAAUACGAAAAAUAGAAAGAAAGAGAAAAUUUGAAAUUAAAAGUGUAAUACAAAAAAUAGCCUACUUGAAUGGCUUUGAUGAUGGUAAAAAAACUUUUUAAUUCUCCCACUCUCUGACUUGAAAAAAAUAUUGUAAACAUAUUGGUAAGACAAAAAGAAAUAACAAAAGAAAAACCAUAUUACUGAUGGUGGGUUGCUUAGUUAAGGAUCACUUCUUCGAGAUUUCCUUUGAUUUAAAUAUUAAACUUGAAAUGACAAAUUGUAAAAAGAAAAAGAAAAUGUUAAAAUAAUUAAAUUUUAUAUCAAAAUAGUAAAAAAAAUAUUAUGGUAUGAAUAAUAGAAAAGAUUGAAGUAAUAAUAUUAGAUGGAUGAAAUUGAUCUUUGUAAUGGAUCAUAAGAUUAAUUAAGAAUCUUAAUAGAAAAACACGCAUGGGAAAUGGAUCUUUAAGUGCCUUAAUCAACAGUACUAUAAAUUUGUAUUAGUCGUUGUGAUAUUUUGACAUUGGAAAUGAUGGGUAUUGCAAGUGGCGUGGAUUUUUGUUUAUUGUUUUGUGGUCAUAUGGUGAGCAAUUCCUUCAAACGCUGGCCUCAAACGAUAUGUAAGCAUUGACGAUGCUUUGUUCCUGACCAUAUUUCCUACUGAACCUAUUCUACUUCUAUCAAAAAGUCUAAUGCUUUGUUCCUACCUAUUUCCUAUUAAAUCCAUUCAACGUUUUUGAAAAAGUCUAAUGCAUUGAUGCUUUGUUCCCACCUAUUUCCUAUUAAACCCACUCAACGUCUUUGGAAAAGUCUAUUAUGUAAUCAGGCUGCUCAAUUUCCUUAAACUCAGAUCAGGUAAUUAAGCAUGCUCAACACUGAUAUAGGCUUUCAUAUCCCCAAUAGAGUCGAAACAGGCGUUUUUCUUUUCUUUUCCUUCUUAUUUUUUCUUUGCAUAAAAAGGAUUAGUGUCACUUCUUGUAUACUAAUAUAGCUUUAGAUUAUGACUUAGUCUAAAUUUACUAAAUGAUUUUCUUUGAUAACUAUAUAAUGACUAUUAUUAAUAUUAACUGAAGAAAGAAUUGAUCGACCAGAACACCAUAUAUAUGAAAUCGGAGUUUACUAUGAUCCAAGGACAAAUAAUAUGAAUCUCAUGAACAACAAUGAAAUGAAACAAAUUCAAAUGAAAUAACAAACCCUGAAUCAUAGGGCUAUUUCCGACCGAAUUAGCGUCUGUGCAAUAGGGAUGCGGAUUGAGACAAGGUUGAAGAAGAUUCUGAGACCUUUGAUGAGUCCGCGGUGCCAUUAGAGGAGUUGGAAAACUGGGUGUGGUUUCUCUCAGAAAGGCUAGUGCUAUAGGAUGUCUGCAGCGCCGGAGGAGCGUAAUACAUUGCCACAGGCAUUUUUAUAGGAAGAAGAGGCAAUAAAGCUUCAGAAUUAAGGACACUAAUUGCUUGCCUCAUUGAAGGACGAGCAUUGCAAUCCGGGUGAGCACACCAAAGACCAACAAUCAUCAAUCGUUCCAUUUGUUGAUCAUCAUAAUCUGCAGACAGUCUUGGAUCAGCAGCUUCAAGAAGUUUUCCUACGCCAUAGAGGUCCCAAACCCACUCCACCAAUCUGAUCUGAUUUUCUUCGGCCUUUGUUUCCACGGCUCUUCUUCCACAGCAAAUUUCCAAUACAACAAUUCCAAAACUGUACACGUCAGAUUCCUUACUAGCCUUGCCUGUCAUGAAACAUUCAGGAGCUAUGUAGCCCAUGGUCCCUGCUAAAACAGUGGUUUGUGACCCUUUACCAUGAUCAACAAGCCUGGCUAACCCAAAAUAUCCAAGCUUAGCAUUAAAAUCUGAGUCCAGCAUCACAUUACUGGACUUGAUGUCCCUGUGUACCACACACUGCUCCCAUUCUUCAUGUAGGUACAGAAGCGAAGAGGCCAAGCCUAGAGCAAUUCUAUACCUCAUAGCCCAUGUUAACAAGGUUUUUUCUUCAAAAAGACAGGUGCUCAAGCUUCCAUUUGGCAACAACUCGUAAACCAAUAGGAGCUCUCCUUUUUGAUGGCACCAGCCCAUGAGCCGCACCAAGUUCCGGUGCCUCAAUCGACAGAAGAUCUUCACUUCAGAUGCGUACUCCUUCAUCCCCUGUUGGGAGUUCCUUGUUACUCUCUUAACUGCAACAUAAGAGUUCAGUUCCCCCAAGAAACCUCUAUAGACCCCACCAAACCCUCCCUCUCCAAGCUUCUCUCCGUCUGAAAAGUUACUGGUCGCAAGAGCCAAUUCAUUAAAAGAAAACUUCCUCGGUCCAGUACCCUUCUCAAAAUCUUCAUCCAUUGCUAGGUCAGAGUCAGCACCAUCUUCUUGAUCUCCCCCAGUAUUCCUCUUCUUCCACAUGUAAUACCAAACCAAUCCCAACCCACCCACCACAACAAAUGCACCAACACUCAAUCCCACCAUAAGUCCUGUCUUCUUUCCCUCUCCUGGUUCUACAGAACUGGGAAAUUCCAAAGUUGAACUAAAAUUCCAUGAGCAAAUUUUGUUUAUCUGGAAAUAGGUUCCUGUUGCGCCUGAGAAGCCCAUAGUAACGUAUUCCGGCAAGUAUUCCCUCAGAUCAAUUUCGUAAGAGAGGCUUUGCGUAGUAUUGGUACUGUCCGUAACCUCAGUAAUUAGGACAACACUCAGAUUAUGUGAACUAGAAGUAUAACUGAUGGAAACAUGAUUUUUCUUUCCUCCCGUGAUAUUGCUGGACCAGUUCACAGUUUUAACAGAUAUCAUGGAGUUAAUAUCAAUACCAAUGUGCUCACCUUCCGGAUCCUUCUUUGCUGCGUUUGUAAAUGUAUCAAACUCCACUGCAAUAAAAGUAACUGCACUUUUGUUUGUCUCAUUCUUUUCGUUGGCGAGACCAAGAGUUCCUCCCAACGUAUCUGUAUGCAAUUGGGUACCAUUAAGGAAGAACGUAAGUCCAUCGGCAUGCUGACUGGAGCCUUGUGAAUUGAUGACAAAGGAGAAAUUGCUAGUGAAAUCAGUUAGAUUUCUGGAGGUCUGAUCCCAGAGAUACAAUCGCUCGCUAUACAUGGCUCGACCCCAACUAUCAUUCGAUUGCUUGUCGUUCUCGUUUCUGGUCAGUUGGAUGCAUCCGUCCGAAGAAUAUACAGCGUCUCCUGCUUCGUCGAAGGAUAUAUUAUGGUUAUUUGAACCAAAGCUGGAGAAGUUGAAGGACAACGAAGUUGCGGAAGGGAAGAAUAUUAGGAAGAAGAAAAUGGAAAUCAUGAAGAGAUGAAAGGAGAGAAGUUUGUGAGAUUCUAUACGAGUGUUGCAAGCACCCAUGGUUGUGUACAGAGUCCUGCCCAUUCUCUCCUAAUUAAACAUAUCCUUGCAGUUGCGUCCUCCUUUGCCAAAGAAUUUUCAAAUCGUCGCCAAAGACGGCAAAGUAAUAUUUUAAGAGGUCGCCUUGAUCCCGUCUGUUCUUGCUUUGACCGCGUCUANNNNNNNNNNNNNNNNNNNNNNNNNNNNNNNNNNNNNNNNNNNNNNNNNNNNNNNNNNNNNNNNNNNNNNNNNNNNNNNNNNNNNNNNNNNNNNNNNNNNAGACGCGGUCAAAUAAUUUUAUCAACAAAUAAUAUUACUUUCAACGCGACCUCUCCAAAUAUUACUUUGCCGUCUUUGGUGGCGAUUUGAAAAUUCUUUGGCAAAGGAGGACGCAACUGCAAGGAUAUGUUUAAUUAGGAGAGAAUGGGCAGGACUCUGUACUCAACCAUGGGUGCUUGCAACACUCGUAUGGAAUCUCACUAUAUAUAAUUAAUAAAUUCUUUUGAUAUAUAAUCGUAUUUAAAGAUUUUCACUCAUUUUCUUUUUUUAUAUAAAAAUUAAAUAAUUUAAAUAUAUAUACAAAUUUAAUUAAUUUUAAUUAAAUUUGAUUUUCUUUUUUUUAUUUUUUAUAUCCUCCUUUAAAGUUUCACUCAUUUUCUUUUUUUAUACAAAGAUUAAAUAAUUUAAAUAUAUAUACAAAUUUAUUAAGUUUAAUUAAAUUUGAUUUUCUUUUUUUAUUGUUUAUAUCCACCUUUAAAGUUUAUUUUCUUUUUUUAUAUAAAAAUUAAAUAAUUUGAAAAUAUAUAAGUUUUUAAUUAAUUUUAAUAAUAUGUAGGUUUUUUUUUUUUUUUUUAUAAUAGAUUAAAUAUGAGAAAAUUAUAUUUAUAAAAAGUAUUCUAAAUUGCUAUUUAUUUAUAAGAAAAUUUCUUUUACAAUUUUUAUUUAGAAAAAAUGAUUUUUAAUAUUUGUAAAAAAAAUGUUUACAAAUUUAAUUUUAUUAAGAAAAGUUUCAAUUAAAUAUGAUUUUUUAUAUUUUUAUUAAGAAAUGAAAUCAAUUUUUAUUUAAAGCAACGAUUCUAGUUUACUUGGUGUAGCCACGUGUUGAUUCCCGUUUGGUUGCUAUGGCAUCAGUAAUGGAAAGAGCAAACAAGAGAUUGACACGUGUUAAGAAGAUUCUGGAAAAAGUUGAGGCCGUUAGGAGGAGCGUUGGAGAGAGAGGAUUCUGGUAGAGAUGGAGGGUGAUUUUCCUACGGGCUGGAGAUACUUUUGGAGGGGCAAAUCUGGUAGAGAGGGGAAAAAGGAGGUUGGCAGAGAGCAGGUGCUUUUGGGAUGCUAGGUUGUGAGAUAUUUAGAGGGGGAGGAUUCUUUCUUGAGGGGAAGUCUGGCAGCAGGGUAGGGAGGAGAAACAAAGGAUUUUCCUUCUAGCUUGAGGAGGAAGCUGCUACAAGAGGGUAUUCAGUUUUUAGGGAGGUGAGGGAUUCCAGAGAGGUUCUCUGAGUGAGAGAGGGCAAGUCUGGUAGAGAGAGGGGAGGGGGUUUUCUGGGAGUUUUCAGAGGUUAUUCGCGGAGCUAAGAAGCAAACUGAAAGGGGAGAGAGAUCGUUUUUGGCUGGGUUAAGCUAGUUUUGACAGAGGAGAGGGUAGGCUGUAAACCUGAGAGAAGAGAGAGCUCUCAUAGAAGAAGCAAGGAACAGAGGAGAGACGUUGCGGCUUACUGAACACCAAUCGAUUUUUGAUCGAAAGGAUCGCUCAGGUUUAGCUAUUUUUGCACCUUAAGUUCUCCAUUAUUUCAGUCGUUCCAUGUUUCUCCCUAAUAUUCGGAUGCUUAUUUUGGCUGUCUAAUAUGUUAAACCUGCUUCUUAGCUUCCAUUUGCUUAGUCUCUGUUUUCUUUUCUUUUUUUCUUUUCUCUCUCCGUAUGAGUUGCAUUAUGAUCAUACCAUUUGUUUGUGUUAAAGUGACCCGAAAACUUCCCACCAGUUCUUAACUCUCACCGAUUUUCAUGGGAGAAAGACAGAUUUAAUCUAUUACUUCUUUCAUAUGCUCUGUUUUCCUUCACUGUGUCUUCUGUCUCUGAUAUGGUUAGCGUGAGUAUCGUGUUUGGGGUUGGUUGCCUGCAUUGGGAUGUCUUCGGAAGAGCUCAGUAGCAAAGCCUCUGGGAUUCAUGUGUCUUAUCACCCAUUCAGUGAGUUGAAGGUCAUCUAGACAGUGAAGCGCCAUAGCCAUCAUCCUGUGUAAGAGACACCCAUCAGAAAUAGAACGCCUUGUUCCCUCGAGCUCAAGACCAGCGUUCACUGUUGAGAGAAGCUUCUUAGAUUAGAUCAACAUGGGACUUUUAAAAUGGGCAGGCCAAUGAGGAAUCGUUACAACACUGGUUUGGUCAUAAGCUGGAAGUUAUGAUGAAUGCGCAUGAAAUUUGUUUUGAAUACGGGAAGUGAAGCCAAGUAUGAGCUGCACUGGAAGAAGAGUUAGUAGUGCAGAAACGAGUGGAAUAUACGUUUGGGAAAGAUGAAUAUAUAUCACUGAUUACAGCAGCUAAUCCAUGGUUACUCCUCUAAGAUGCUGUUAUGCCUUGUGAGAGAUGCUGCUGCUAAAUUGCCUGGAAAUAUUGGUACCAGAGAAGACAUUGGUACUCUGUUGAGAAAUUCACAAUAUAUUGCAGAAGGCAUCUUCAACAGAUAAGUUAACUCAGUCGUUCAAGGAGGUUUGAGCCGUUUGCACUAUGAAGAUGAUUCUUGGGUACAGUUUGAUAGAGUUAGAAAGUUGUAGGUCUAUUUACAUGGAGGAUAUGAGGAGAGACACUCACAUAUACCAGCACGUACGUCUCCUUGCUUCCGUGUCGUAAGAAGGUGAUGACUAUAUCAGCAACAAUGGGUUUGACCUGGAUGAAAAUUCAAGGAACGGGACUUGGUGCAUGCAUGCAAGAUAUGGAAUAGUGAUUUGACUGUAGAUUUGUUUGGCGGAAUGCUAGGAAAUGACAUUUUGAAUCUGAUUCACACUCUCGAGUGCAAUGGUCCAUCCACAGUUAAAACAAAAGUCAGCAGUUGAAAUAGUUCCUACGCUUUCAUGCCCAAUAUCCCCAUCCAUUUCUUUCACUACCCCUUUGUUGCCCAUUUUCCAACGUGCAUGAAGUCUCAUGCAUGCGCUCAUACCCCAACACUACAUUCCACCUAUAUCCUCAUACCCAUCACCUCACACUCCACCAUACCCAUCAUCAACACUCCACCUUCUCUCUUACCAUCCAUCAUAUACAUUUGUCAGCAACCCAUACCCAUUCUUUCCAAUAUUCAUACUCACUGCCAGUUGCCCAUACCUCCUUCACUCAUUCUCUAUUCAUUUCUUUUCUGUCAUCCCAUCUGUAUGGAUUUUACGUGCAUGACUCCCUAACCUUUUUCCAACACCUUCCCUUGAGAUCCACUGGUCACCAAGCUCACUUUAUGCUAUCAAUAAUACCCACACUCACAACCCCAACAUAUCCACCGCUAUGCACCAUUUAUCAUACCUCGUGCAGCAAUAAGAGAGCAAGGCCUUGAUAUAUCCAGUUUGGGAGUGCGAGACGCAUUUCAGCUUGUCAGAGUUAGUUAAAUUCCCGACAGAAGUUCCUGGUCAAGAUGCUUGUGCAUAUUUUUGUCUGCUAUCCUACCCCAUUCAUCAAGCCAUGGAUUUGUGCCUUCCCGGUCUAGUGAUAAGACGGUGGAAUAUGAGAAUUCUUAGCCAUUCUCAUCUCGUGGAGAUAGAAAUGGAAAAUGCAGCAGGAACAGUGGGGAAAUUAAGGCUCUGUUUGGUUCCCGGAAAAUGCGAGGGAAAGAAAAUUGGGAGGAAAAAUGGAAGGAAAGAAAAAGGUAAGAAAAAAAAUAUAAUUUUUUUCACUUGUUUGGUUAUCCAUGGAAAAUUCAAGGGGAAAAAAAAGAAUUCAUUUUCUUUUGUUUGGUUAACCACAAAAAAAAAGUAAGGAAAAAUAGAAGGAAAAAAAAAUCAACAAUUUGCCUUAAAUGGUUAUCAAUUUGUUAAAUAAUAAAAUAAAUUAAUCCAAUAAAAAAACUAUUGAAAAACGUGAAUUUUUGGACAUAAAACAUUGUUCAUAAAAAGUCUCUACUAUUUUUUAUUUAUUAAUAAUUAUAAAAUUUAUGUAUAAAAUUUUCCUCAUGUAAUACAAAUAAAAUAUACGAGUAAUAACUAUUUUUUAUUUUCAAGGAAACAUUUAUAGCUAAUAAAAAGCUCUUAAAAAAUUCAAAAGGAUUUUUGGAAUCAAAAUUUAGAAAUAAAAUAUGUUCAUAUAAUGUAAAAAUAAAAAACUACUAUAUAAAAUAUAAAAUUCAAAAUUAAAAGCUGAGGCCCAUUUUACAUCUGCUAAAUCAUUUUCCCACUCCUAAAUCUAGCAACAAAUUAUUCCCACUCUUCUUACAAAUUAACAUGAUAUGAAGCUAUGUUAAAUAAUAAGGAAAGGACAAAGCAAUACAAAUAAAAUGAUUUUUUUCACGUUGGUUAAUCAUAAAAGAUAUAAAAGAAAAAGUAAAUAAAAAUAAUAUAUUAAUUUUAUUUUUUCUUUGCAAUUUUCUUGAAAUUUUUCAAAAACCAAUGAUAGGGUAAAUAAUCAAUAUCAGCACUCAGUGGAUGGUUGUGGUGUAUACCAAUUGUGUUUGAAGAAGAAAUACCUCAGAAAUGUUCUAAAAAGUAUCAUUUUCCAUUGUCUUUUAUUGAAUGGCCAGUCGAGGUAUAGAAAAUUGCAGUUAAACCAGUACUGAGUCAAACAGGAAUGUAGUUAAACCCAGUUCAAAGAUUCCAUGAUAUCUAGGUUAUAUAUAUAAAAUCUUUGCAAGAUUACCACAGUUUUGAAAAUUGUUUGACCAAUUCAGCCUUACCUCUACCUGAAACAGAAUUCCAUACAAAAGACAUCACAAUUCUGAAUAAGCUUCAGGUUUCCUUCAAAUAUGAUCCAACAAACGAGGGAUUUCUCAAGGACAUCACGGCAACAACAACAACAAAAAAAGGAAAAAGAAGAAAACAAAAAGAAAAAAGAAAAAAAGAAAAUAUAGAGAAGGCCCUAAAAGAACAGGAACAGGUGAUAUGAAGCUUCCUACCCCAUGUCACUUUGACAUCUCAUUCCAUGAUGUAAGGGAGAAACUCAAAGGAGAACAAAAAACUACUUCAAAAGCAAGGCAUAAUUCUGGGUCUCUUCCCCAGAAAGAGGCUGUAAUGCUUAUUCAAAAUGACUGUAUGAAGAAGGAAACAAUUAUCAGCAUUCCUGACAGUACAAUGCAUAUUGAUCAUAUUCAUGAAUCUUUCGGUAUUUNNNNNNNNNNNNNNNNNNNNNNNNNNNNNNNNNNNNNNNNNNNNNNNNNNNNNNNNNNNNNNNNNNNNNNNNNNNNNNNNNNNNNNNNNNNNNNNNNNNNNNNNNNNNNNNNNNNNNNNNNNNNNNNNNNNNNNNNNNNNNNNNNNNNNNNNNNNNNNNNNNNNNNNNNNNNNNNNNNNNNNNNNNNNNNACAGUUUAAUUAAAAGGCAUUCUCUAUCCAAAUACCGAAAGAUUCAUGAAUAUUCCAAACACUGAGAAGCAAAAACUUUAUCUGAAACGCAAAGAAACCACAUGGAUGCUGAGCUGGAAAAGUAAAAUGAAUCAGAAUCUCAACCAGCUGCUUUUAAACCACCCCCGGAAAAGGUUCUCAAUUCUCAAACCAAAACCAAAACGCGUAUCAAAACUAAGGUAAAAGUAGCUGUAGAUUUGAAAAGAUAGAUGAAUAAAAAAAGUCUCCAUAAGUCUAAAAAUAUAAUAGAUCAAUUUCUAAUAGUCAACUAUCAUCCAUGAGUUUUGAUAUCAAAACUUCACGUAUAGCCCCAAAACAAAAGUAAAACUAAAAAUAAAAAUAAUCUCUAUAUCAAACUAGGCAUCAAAAAAAGUAGGUCCAAAUUUAACUAACAACCAAAGCUUACGCCUAUCAAUUAGACAAGCAAGGAAGGCUCGAGCUGCACUCACAUUACCUGUAAGAGCUUGAUAUGCUUUCAUAUGAGAUACAUCACUCAUGCCUCCAAUCUUAGCAAUCUCUUCAAACAAUUGCUCUUCUGUAUAAUUUUGAAGGUUGCUUCUAUCAAGAGCCGCAACAACUGCAUCCAUUCCAACCCUAAUUGACCUUAAUUCUUCACUUACAAUGUCAGCAUAUAUUGCUUUUCGCUUUUUUGUUUCUUUAUUUGACUUUGGUGCAGAAACAGAUGCAUCUGUAGAUGAGAAAGAUGUCUCAAUUGUUGCUUCAUUUUCAACAUAAGCAAAUGUUUCAUCUCUGAUCCCAUGUUGUGAUGAUCCUAAUGGAAUUGUGUCAUCCAAAUUUUGUUCUUGGGCCCAACGAAGUUGUCUUUCUUUUGCACCUGCAGCAAGACUUCCUGUUGCUCGAUCUUUUCCAAGAAGAAUGGACAACUUAUCAUAAUUUCUAAUAGGUUUGUGUCUGAGCUGAGAUGCUCCUGGGUGUGCCUUUUAACAUCAGAAAAAACAAAUAUUAACAAAACUCGAGUCCAAUUGUGAUAAUGUCUAUUAGAAAUUUAUAACUCUACAUUACAUGCAAAAAUUUUAUUUCUAAUAACUCAAAAAUAAUAAUUAACUCACCUUAGUGUAAGUAGUCCAUACUUCCGUGGUAGCUUCGAUCAUUUGAGUUGAUUCAUUGAAACCAAAUCCACUACCACUUUAUAAAACUUCUUGAGCAGCAUAAAAGUUUUUUUUUUAAGUUUUCAUUCUAUUUUUUAUGUGCUCAGAGUUACAACUCAAUUCAAAAUUUUCCCCAAUUUCUCGAGCAACUAUUGCAUAAGCUGUCUUGGUGAAGACUCCUCCUAUCUUUUGCCCUUUAUGCAUUUGCUCCAUUAAUCGAUCAACCAAAAAGUUGUCCAUUUCAUCAAUCCAAGUCAAGUUUCUUUUUUCACUUACACUUUUGUGCACUUCAAAGCCUUCACUAUGUUUCAUCUGAAAUAAUAAUACAUAUAUAUAUAUAUAUAUGUUUAAAAUGAAAAGUCAAGAGGAGGAGAUAUAAUAACAACUUCAUUGUAACUCAUUCAAAAUGUGAUUUUAACUAGAGGAGUUAUGGUUCUAAAUACAAUCAUUGUACUUAAUAUGAAACACAAAAAACUAUACAAGAAAUGAACCAUAAAAUAAAAGGACUCAUCAACGGUUUCUAUUGUAAUCUUUCCACAUGUCCAUGGCUAUUUUCUCCCUUAAGAUUUCUCCUUCCUUGCAUUUUUCAGCUAAACUCAAGACCAUUGAUUCAAAUUCCGCUUCUUCGCUAAAAAGCUCUCUAUCGACCUCUGCUAUUAAUCUUUCAUCUGGAUCAACACCCAUGAGAUAGUUAUGGAGGAUACAACAUGCUAGUAUAAUAUCAGAUUGUGUGUCAACAGGGUAAUGUGGCUCUGUCCCACUAGCUAUUAUUGGAAAUCUUUUCUUCAAAACACCAAAUGCUCUUUCAAUUGCAUUUCUCAAGGACGAGUGUCGAAGGUUGAAAACCUCUCGAGCAUUUUCUGGUUGAUGAACACUAUACUCUUUUAAAUGGUAACGAGUGCUUCUAUAUGGGGUAAGAAAUCCAAUUUUUAGCUGAAAACCCGCAUCAGCCAAAUAAUAUUUACCUAAGAAGCAUAGACAAAGGAUCUUUGUUAUUAGUAAUAGUCACUUGAGCUAAUAAAUUAUGUUAUUAUCUAAUUACCAAUAAUUACCUUGUGGAACAAUCAAUUUAUCAAAAUCUCUCACUAAUGCAUUAUCUAGGAUUCUCGAGUCUGACGCAGAUCCUUCCCAACCAGGUAAAACAUAUGUGAACUUCAAGUCAAAGGAACAUGCUGCUAAAACAUUUUGUGUUGGAUAGUAAUUUCGCCCUCGAUACCUGUGCACAACAUCAUUUGACACUUUUACACGAAAAUGUGACCCAUCAAUCGCCCCUAUGCAAUCCUAUAAAAAAACAAAAUUAUUAGUUUAUUUUGAAAUAUAAAUAAUAUUCUAAUGAUGUUUGUUAGAUAAGUAAGUUUACCUUAAAGUAGGGCCAAAAUUUGGUAUUGUCCUUGAUUUCUUGAGGGCACUUUAAUCCAUCAGGCUGCUUUAAGAAGACAUCAUUUAAAGAUAUUAUAGCUCUAAGAACUUGAUGAAAGUGGCGACUAAUAGUUUCACUAGAACGCUUGAAAUAAAAUUUCAUAGUUCUAUUCCUUAAAUUAUGAUCAACAAUGUGAAGGAAUUUGGCAACUUGUUCUUCUACAUUACUAUGUGCAUUAUUUCUAAGACGACCUGUUCCCCGAAGAAUGUUUACUAGUCUUGCGAAUGCAUCCUUUCCCAUACGUAGUUGAUUAUAAAAAUCUUCAUUAUCCAUUAGUGUAAGUCUUUCCAUCAAAGCAUGUCGUUCAUAAUCUCCUUCAUUAGAGAUUGAUCUCUCCAAAUAGUUUGAGCAAUGAUAAACUGAAACAAGAAUUGCCGCAUAUGCAGCAUACAUAGCUACACAAGUUGCAGCCCAUCUUCUAAGUCUUUGCCAUUCUUCAUUAUAAGUCUACAUGAUAGCAAAGUAAGAGGAAUGAUUUAGUAAAGUCAUUAGGUAAAGUAAGAGGAAUUGAAGUAUUAUGAUUUCUAGCUAUGAAAAUUUCGAGGAAAAUAUUGCAUGAAAAUUAAGGGAUGUUUCUGCCCACUAGUUCUUUUCUUGAUGUUAAUUGCAACAUGGCUCUGCUAUAUAAUGUUGGAACAAGGAGACAAAACUGCCUGGUUCUAUGAAUCAAGACACUGAAUUAAUUGGACCUUUUUACUUAAUGUUGAACAGUUUUUAAAAAUUGUACUUAAUGGGAUAGGCUUAGAGUGAAUACGUGUGAGUUAGUGUCUGGCUUUGUGAGCUACAUUUAAUCCAUCAAGAAUGUAGAAGUUACUGUAAAGAAAAUUUCCCACAAUUCCAAGCAGGGAGUGAAGGAGUUUGUUGCAGAGAUUGCAAGCCUAGGAAAGCUGAGGCACAGGCACUUGGUUCAUCUCCAAGGUUGGUGUAAGCGAAAAGGCGAUCUCCUUCUUGUUUAUGAUUAUAUGUCCAAUGGCAGCCUGGACACCUUCCUGUUUCAAGAAGACAAGAACCUGGAUUGGGGACAGAGGUUCAAGAUCCUCAAGGAGAUUGCUGCAGGCCUCCUAUAUUUACAUGAAGAAUGGGAUUUUAGCAUGUUGUUAGGGCUUUUAGCAUGGGUAGGCUUGAUACAUAUGGAUUAUUAUCUAAGAAUUUAAGCUAUUAGAUUAAAGAAGCCUGUUUUUUAUAAAAUGAAGCUUUUAUAUACAUGGGGGGAAGAAGAGAUUAUAUUCUUGAUAACCAAAACAGAGUGUGACUGUAUUACAAUUCCUCGAAAGAGUCACCAACAAGUGCAGAUUGAGUUUUCAGGUUUUUGGAAAGGGUGAACUUAUAUUUCCCAAGUGCAUGUUUAAAUGAAGUCUUUUCAGAAUAUCAAACAGUUCAUACUCCUUUUCAUUAUUUCAGUAGUAUGUGUUCAUGUUAUUUCCCAACUUCUUCAUGGUCAACCUGAAUAAGAUUAGUGCAAUUGUGCAAUCCCUUAUAUUGGCAGUUAAAAUUUACAAAUGACUGAACAUCUAUGAUAAACCUAUCCUACCUAUUUGGGACUUCAUGAUACUAACAUAUGCACACAUUUUUUUAUACGUACAAAUAGCCACCAGAAAAAAAUAUUUUUGGGUGAUGUUGCAAUCACCCUUCCAUAAUUUAGAUUAUAAAACUAGCUGCCAAAAAGUUCCAUCAUAAUCCAUCCUUUUAUCCACAACAAUAUACUCUCUGAGACACCAAAAUUGAAAGAGGUUCUGAUUCUUUCCCAUGUAAAAGUAAUCUUCUGCAAGUCCCCCAAGUCCCAGCAUGGCCCUCUAGCAGAAAGUGUCUUGGCACCCAAAUGCUAGUCCCACAAAACUACCUGUUGGUUGCAACUAAUUUACCCACUUGGGUGUUGCAGCUACCCAAAUGUUACUUCUAAAUAAGGGUUACUAGGGUUAGGGAAAGACUCCUUAAUGUGCAUUAGGCUAACACCCCUGCUCACAUUGGACCCCAAUCUGCAUGUUGAGAGGGGAAAUUCAAUAUGCAUACCCUAAGAAUUGGAGUUUUAACAACAUGUAAUGUUGGAUUGUAAAACCUAAAUCAGUCUUGUUGUGUCACGUAUUUUUGUCAUCUUAUUGACAGACCAAAAGAAAAAAGGUUCAGAAGUCAUCAAGUUGUAUAAAUGAAAGACUAAAAAACUUGUAUCAGAUGAACAGGAAAUUAAUGUUGUUAGCCGGAGAAGGGAAGGAGAUUUGCUUCACCAAUGAUUUGAAGCCUUGGACUAGAAAAUUUGGAAGUAUUGUAGAGGAAAAGUUGAGGUGCCAUCAUGAAUAGGACGUAAGGUUCACAUGAUUUCAAACCAAACUGACAGAAGGUCCUUUAUGUUGGCUCUUGCUUAUAUUAGUUCUUAUAUUAGUUCUUGUAAAAUCGUCUUGGAUGUCAUCAUGAAUUUUCGCCAUUUUAUCUAGCUAGCUAGAUGCUGCUGCAUUGGAACUCCCUUCCAGAAGUUAAUAAAUUAACAUAGAAAAUACAUAGGUUCUUUCUUCAUUGUAGUUCCUGUUCUCCUACUUCUGCCUGUUGUCUAAUUGGUUUUCGGGUUGUCUAAACAAUUCAUUGUAGCCCUCACACCCUAAACCAGUGGCUUAAGAUUCCAGACUUGGUUAUUUAAGAUUGAUUUCAUAGGAUGCAAUAAUUUCCUAACAAUUUUAAUAUAAAAAAAAAAUUAAGCAAAAUGGGUAAAUGCCAUUUUUAUGCUUGGUACAAUCAAAUACAUAUGUAAAGUUAGCAAUAUCAAGUAAAUAGAAUAGGUAAGAUAAAUUAACACAAUUCAUAAAGAUCAAGACAUCAAUGAGAAGGAAAAAAAUCACAAGCUAUAGUCUCCUUGAAUCUUUCGCAACUAAAAAUUAAUGGAGCAUAAUGAAUUUAUUUAUUUAUUUUUCAAUCAAGUGAAAGGUCCCAGAACCUCCACCAGAGAACAUGCAGUUGGGUUGUGUACGUCUACUCCCUUACGACUUCAUGAGCUAAUUAAUAUGAGCAGGUGGCAGUGUAUAAUCCAAGUCCAGCAAUUUCUAAGGUCCCACAAUAGAUGAGAAGUUCAUGAGAAUUAGUCCAGCCCUAUCCUUACGCCUUUUGAAUUCCCAAUUCAACCUCGUGUUUCCCGGAAAAUCAUAUAUUACUGACAAUAAAUAAGUAAUAAACAUUUUCAAUCUUAUCGGAAGGCUAAUAACAACAACACAUGAUACCCAAAAUUACAAAUUAUCAUUUCUUCAUAUUAACAUUCAAAGUUGCAAUUAACAAUAAAGAGAAUCAAAACCCUAAUAAUAUUCAAAAUCCCCAUUCUGAAACCUGAAAUCAUUGGUCCAUAAAACCCUAAGAAAUAACUCAAAUCGAAUUCAAACCCUCAUUUGAAGGGGGAAAAAAAAAAAGCAAAUAUCAAUCCAAACAAACUCGAAAUUCCCAUUGGAAACCUUAAACCCUAAUUUCUAGUCAGUUGUAUGGAAAAGGCUGAAUGAGGGAAAGAGAUCAUAAAAUUAAACCAACAUCAAACACAGAGAUGAUGUGAGGUUAAGAGAAAAUAGUUCAAUUCAUACCUAACUUGAAGACAUGGAUCCGUCAUCCAUGGGAACUUGAUUUGAAGAACGCACUUCAUCAAUGGGAACUCGGGUGCCUGAAAUUGGUAGGUUUUCAGAGGCACUCGAAGGUGGUCGGAGUGAUAGUGGUGGCCGUUGAAAGGGUCGACUACGUUGAGAAGCCAUAGCCACUGGCGAAGAGGAAGUUAGAGAUGAAGCUUCGGUGAACAAGAGCCGACAAAAUUUUCCUCCUCUUUUCCCUGCUCUUUUUCUCUUAUAUUUUCCACGUUAUUUUUUAAGGAAAAUAUUACAAUAUUUUCUUUAAUAUUUUCCUUCGUAUUUUUUUUCCAUUGUAUUUUUCAUGUCAUCCAAACUAAAAAAAAUCAUUUUCCUUUGUAUUUUUUUUCCUUUCCUUAGCAUUUUUCGGGAACCAAACAUAGCCUAAAGGAUCUUUUAUCCAGAAAGAUUGGAAAGGUCAUUGUUCAAAAACAGGCAAUGCAUCUCCAAACGUGUUGGGAAGGUCUCUUGCUGUAAAUGAUCAGAACUCAGUCUAUGACAUGCUAAUUCAUUCAGACUUUGUAAACGGAUGGGAUCCACUUCAGUUGAAAGACCGACAUGAUAAGAUAGGUAAUGUCAAUGGGUUAGGCACAAGACAGAGAGCUAAGAGAGAGAACUCGUUGAGCUCUAUUGAUUGGAAGCCUCUAAAAUGGACUCGGUCUAUAAGCUUGCCUUCACGGGGUUCUAUUUUCUGCACCAGUAAUGGGGAGUCUACACGUUCUCUCAACUCAAACUUGGUUGACAAGAGCCCAAGAGUUAUGGGUUUCUCAGAUUGUGUAUCUCUGGCAACUCCCUCUUCUGUUGCUUGUUGUUUUUCACCAAUCUGAUGAUCCAAGUUCAGUGGAUUCUAAUCUACUGCAUGUGUGAAGGUACUGAUCGCUUCCAGUUUACCAAGUGAUUCCCAUAUCCCAAACAGCUCAAUGGUUGAGGCUUCAUUGACAUUAAUAUACCCGUGGCCACCUUUACAUGUUCAUUAACCCCUCAUCUCACUCAAACUGAUCCAUUCUCUUCCUCGUUUUCCAUACCCAACGUCAUAGUUUCGGGGUUGGUUCGUGCUGUGGGUUGUUCGGAUUUUCUGGAAGCGGUAAUGAUGAAUAUGGAAGACUUACGUGAGUGGCUUUUGAACCAAUGCAAAUCUCUGAUGAUUGUCAUUGUGUUCUUAGCCGAUGUGACUGAGGAUACCCUGGGUCAGUUUGCUUGAACCUGCUACAAGCAAUAGUGUAACUCCACUGAGAGUGAGCUAGCUUCGCAUAGGUAUGAUAUCAUGUAUUCAAGAAGAGGUUGAAGCAAUCCAGUUAGACGGCCAUUUGACUCUUCGCGUCAUACGUAAAGUUGGCAAGGCUUUGCUGCUGCUUCUCCCAUUGGAAGUAUUUUAUGCUUCAAACGUCUUCAUGGGUACGUUUAUGUUUGUGGUCAAUGGAGAUGUUCACAAUGAGUAGGUUGUCCUUGCUCCUGUUGGAGCUUCUGAAGCUGGGGACAUGCUACACAUAGCCAUGGCUUUACCUACUUGUGCACUCCAUCAGAAUCUUCAGAAUGUUAAAGACCUGCAAACAUGCAGAAAACCAGCAUUGAGGAUUUUAAUUUCCCGAAGUUCAGUGAUGGAUUUUCUUUAGAUGGAUUUCAUGGGGAUAUGGAUGAUUCUUCUACACGCAAAGAUUCAUUUGGUCAUAUUUCAGAGCUCGAAAAUGCAGAUAUACUAGUAGGAGCAUCGUAUUGUGUUAUGCUGGCAAAUAUAGAUGGGUUGAGCAUGAAGUCGCUGCUUACCCAACAAACUAGAAAUCUUUCCCUGGUCAGUGCAGGUCUUGUAGCGGAACUUGUGGAAAGAAAUUCAGACAUAGAUAGGGAGCCUAUGAUGGAUAUUGAUGGCCGACCAGUUUCUGUUGAUGUCAUAGACAUCCUCCCUAGAUGUUUGUCAAGUAAAUAUUUAUUCUGGGACCCAGACCUUGCUCUUCUAUCACUAGGAAAGUACUCAGCCCUGCAAGAAAUAGGUUGGAUAAAAGAGAAUCAAGCUCAUUGUCCAAGCCUUCAAUACUAUUAUCUUGGCUAUUACAUUCAUUCUUGCAGUAAGAUGAGAUAUAAAGCAGCAUAUCGCCCAUCUGAGCUUCUCUGUCCUCUUCGUUACCAAUGGGUUCCAUUUGAAUAUUGCCAGGCCUUUACUUGAUAGGCAG
rnacentral:lncRNA from 1 species